AGGAGGGCCGUCGGCCGCCCCGGAGGAGGGCUUUGUCUGCGCCCGGCUCCGCUCCCCCCGCCGCCGCUCCCGCUCCCUCUGCCCGCCCGCUCUCGCUCUCGCUCUCCCUCUCGCUGUGGUUUUUGUAAGGUAGGUUGCAGCGCGUGUGUGUGUACACAACAUCGAGAGCAGGAAAAUGGACUCAUUAGGGAGGCAGGCGGUCGGGAGCGCUCGCGCUGUAGUGCCGGGGAGACGGAGGCUAUGAGGAGGCAAACUGAGGACGGGGGAACAAGCAGCAUAAAGAAGAAGUGUUGAGAGCUGCUCUCAGCCCUUUUGGAGUCCGAAGUCAAAAGGGAACUAGGGGGCUUGACACAUCCCUUGCAUCUUCCAUUUACUCUGACCACAGUCCCUCCCUGUUCUCUCAAGUGGAGCUAAGCCCUGCUUCCCUCCCUCUUGAUUCCCAGACAGCUACAUGACUGCCUGAAGUUACAUUGUAGAUGCUGAAAUCACUGCACCUUAAAAACAAAAAGAUUAAGCUGCACUGCAUUCUUAUAUAUAGAGGCAUGUUAUAGAAAUAUGUAUUAAGAAGUCCCUGAGUCCUAGGAGAACAUAUCAAGUUGACUCUGGCUAGAAGCAAGUGAGUUUUAUUCCCAUUCCUUUCAGUUCAUUCACCCCUUUUCCAUUCUCUUCUUGUCAUCUCCUGUCUUUCACCUGAUUUUUUUUUCCUUAUUAAAAAUUCUGAGUGACCUGGUACAUUUUAAUAUGAUAUAGGUGAUCAUAUUCAUCAUGAAGGUGAUAAAGCGUACUUCAAUGCCUUCUCGCUUGUCCAAGGGAUAACAUAGGUUUCAAAAAGCAGAUGGCUGACUAGAGAGCCCUGAGAUAUCACAGAGCUAACAGGUGCAGCUAUCAAUUCAGCUUCUGCAAUGCAAAGAAUUCAUAUUUCCCAUAAAAAUCAGAAAAAAAAAGGGGAAACAGUGAAAGAGUGAACUCAAAGACUCCAAAUACAUACAUUUGAAAAUUUUAUUAUGGUAGAUGAUGCAGGGACAGCAUUUGUAUGCCAAAAGUAGCAAUCCAUUGCUAAGGAAGUAAGCUUCAUGGCUAAAGCAGAGUGCUGAAAGGUAGAGACUGCACUGAAUUCUUGUGGUCAUUGAACAGCUGAGUAAUUUGCACAACACUCCUAAGGUCUGUUUCCCACACCAAAGCAAAGCUUUGUAUAGGAAAAGAUAAAAAAAGGAAAGGUGUAUUGCUGCUGAAAUGCUAGAUACUGAAGUGGCUCAAAAUGUGUUUCCAAAAUGCAUUUAGUGCAUCAAGAAAAACAACACGUAAAGGUCAUUAGGAGAAAUCACACUACUAACAGUACCUCUUUCUAGUCCUCUUCCCCCUUUCUUACAAGUUUAAUAUGGGAUUAUAAAAAAAUAUAGCCAGCAUACAAGUGGUUAAGGAGCCAUGUCCACACUUUUUCAGUUCUUUAUAUUUUGACAGUAGUGGGCUUCUAUGAGCUAUUGAUAACUUCAGAUGCAAUUUAAUUGCAUUUUUGUUCGUACUACCUUAAAACCCAGUUUGGAAUGAAAAUGGUUGAGGCAUCUAAAUAUGUCAUUACUAAUAUCAUUAAUAAGGUUGUUAGGCUUUAAUUUUGUGCUGCCCAACUGAAAUCUGUGGUGUGUGCUUACUGAAUCAGUGCCAUAGCACAGGACUGGGACUCCUUCAUUGUCACAGCUGGACCAGAGGACUUUGAAGUGGUGUUGCCUUUCCCUAGACAUCAGUAGAAUUAUCCUUGCAAAAGCAAGUAGUUUUUACAAGUUGACAAAAUGACUCUUACGUUACUGGUAGCGGAAAAGAUAAAGAUCUUAACUGCUGACUUUCUGGUAUAAGUACAAGAAAAUAAGGUCUUUUAAUUCACAGCAAAAUUAAGGUAACCAAGGGAAACCAAGAGGAUAACUAUUCAGAAUUUUAACUAGUAAUGAGAAAUUAGGAUAGGGCAAAUAAUGAACACGAUCCUUACUGCCCAGACACUGAAGUCUUUAAAUUUUAGAUUGCAGUGAAAGUGUUUCUAUAUUUGGUCUACUAGGAAAAAAAUCACCGUAAUUCCAAUCACAUUUCUAAAAGCUAUGAAUACAGGUAUGAGAGAGUAUUACAGAUAAAUUAUCCGAUUCAGAAGUUUUUCCUAGAGUUGCAAAAUCUGUUAUGUCAUAUUCACAGUUUUUCCAUAAAAAGACUUUUCCAUUAGUCAUCAGGUUGGAACAGCACUUAUAGAAGUUGGAAAAACAAGUCAUAAUACCUAUAAAACGUUUUGAAAAGUUAAAGUGAAAACUUCCUGAGCAGUUGAUAGAAAGGAAAGUAAUGGGGAGAUUUUUUUCUGCUUUUGUGUAAAAGGUGGGAGUUUUGACUGGAGAAUGCUAUAGCCAACUGCAAAUAUAUGAAACUGUUAGAGAAAAGAUUUCUCUCCUGUCCUAUUUUCAGACAAAUUACCUUCGUGGUCCUGGUCCUUUGGUUCCACACAAUUAUCAACUAAGCUGAAGGAGAUCUCCCUAUAGCUGUGAGUAGUAAUGAGGCUUUAGCAUUUCUUUUCACAUUGCUGCUAGAGAGUGACCCCUCUCUCUAGAAGGCUCACCUUUUCAUUACAAAGGUGUUACUUCUUUUCUGCAUAUUUAAAGCACCCCUUGUGUUACUGUGCAAUCCCUUCACUGUGGAGUAACAGAAAAUUCAAGCUGACAUAAGUUCCAGCAAGCUUCUUUAACCUUGGAAGUGAAAAGUGGCCAGUGACAGGCAGGAGCUUUGAAAGACAGCGAAAGAAUAGAUUCAUUUUGGAUUGUACUCAGAAUGUUGUAUAAAUGAUGCAAGAAACUCAGAGAGAUGCCACAAACACCCUACUAGGGAGAUACCAGUGACAGAAUGAGAGCUACUGCCCGAAACUGCUUGAGUUUUGACAGCAUUAUGUGAUGACAUCUGAGAUGUAAGUAGAUGCCAGGCAGCUAUAGUGUCUUUUGAUGAAGUCAUUUAUUGAUUUGACACUGACUUUUUCCCUUGUACCAGUGCAUGUACUCUCCUGUGACACAGAAUUGAGGUGAUCUCGUGAAAUUACAAGAAAAGCAGAAAUUGGGUAGACAAAAUGGAUGCUACUACCAAGGAAACUCUACUCAGUACUCUUAGAAGUAAAGGAUACUGUGAUGUGAGUCAGUCCUCACAACACAGCACUUCAAGGGAAAUGGAUAAAUGGUGGUUGGGCACAACUCACAGCUCUAAGUGCUGUGAGGAGGUGAUACCAUGUGGCAGAUUUACCUGGGAUUUUUGUGCUGGCAGAGAGACAGGGAAGGAAAUCUUUUUAUGAUCAAGCAGUAUAGCUCAAAGCAGCAUUGGUUUUAUGAAUGUGAAUGAUAAACAGUGGUGAAUCGGAGUACAGCUGAAUCCUAAACCAAGUGAUUGUGAUGGGGCAAAUUAUAGAGGAAUUUAUGCAAGGUUCUCUGUUGCUAUAGCUCAAAUGAUUCGUCUGUGCUGUUUUUUCCUCACCCUUUUCCAAGUUUAUUUUGUGUUGUAUAUCAUUCCUGUAAUUGUGUUCUUUGUUGUUUUUCUCCUGACAUGUUAAAUCCCACAACACAGUCUAGUCUUGAUGUUUUCCUUCUCUUUCAAAGAGUCCCAAGAGAGAGAAGCAGGGAAGGUAGAUGUAUUUGACUUUGGAAAAUGAGUUUAUGCCAGUUGCAAAGGAAAUAAAAUAUAUCAUAGGGGUCUGCUAAGGGGAGGGGAAUGAAAAUAUUGCUCGUUUGUGACAAAAGAUUGCCUUGAAGACUGCUUCAGCUUGAUCAGUCUGAAGUCCAUGUCUCACUGUUUCCAUUACAAAGGCUUUAAUGUUCCUGUUUCUUUUGGAAAAGGACUUCAUCUAUUUUGAAAUAAGUCCAAGGCUCCCCAAAUGUACUAUUUGCUUUCAGGCUGAAAACAUGAGACCUGUGCAUUGGCAUCUCAUUCUAGAGGGGCUAGAAAAUAUUACGUGGUUUAGGUCAUGGGCCAGGAUAGCCAAGGAGUCAGCAUGUGAGCAUCUCCAUGACAGCUGAGGAUCAUAGAGUCCACAGCCUUAUGCUGAUACAGUGAGCACUACUUCUGCAAGGACUUUGGGUAUGGAGAUAUUUCAGCACAGAAUGGGGCCAUGGCUUCCUCAUGCUCUGGGCAAUGGAUGCAAGCAAUAUGCCUAGCAGACAGGAGAACAAGCUGUCAAGCUAUGCCUGGCACAGGGACCACAGGAUGGGUGAGGAACUGAAGCACUCUGCUGUGCAGGGUGUCUGUACUGUGGUGGGUCACUACAGGGCUGUAAUUAGAUAACGAAAUCUCAGCCAGAAUGAGUGAAAUCUGGUAGAUCUUUGUUUUACAUACCAUUUGUCUGGUUUGCAUGUAGGAGGCAGGACUUCAGGACCUGUAUUAUGAAGGCAGAAUACUAUUCGUAUGAUACCUUCUUGGUAUCAAGCCUGUAAGCCGAUACAGUUCAUUCCUUCAGAGGAUCCCAGUCCGGAUUUGUUCACUGGGGGUGAUCAUUACAGAGCCGUAGUACAUUAAUUCAAGUCCUUAGCAAACAGUGGCUCACUAUCCUCUGCAAGCCUCCCACGGCUUCCUAUUGUGAGAACAUAGCUUUCUGCUGUUUUUCCUUUAUCUGCUCCUGAGAUGUCCCUAAUCUCUUCUGAGCAUCAGCCCCCAUUUUUCUGUUCGCAGCAGAGAACUUUUUCGGUGCACACCUGUGGAGCUCAUUCCUAACCUGUCGUUUUCAUAGUAGCAGUUUUACCGGGUGUUAAAAUACAGCUACCAUCCUGAUACGUGCGUACAGAGGAAGAAAAUAAAUGCGCUCUCUGGAAAGAGAUGAUAUGAUCUCUAAAUUAGUGGCAGCCAUCCCUCAUAGUGUGUGGUAUGUUUUAAAGUUCAAGGUCAUUUUUUUUUUUUUUUCCCUUUCUUAGUAUGUGCAACUGUUAGCAUCAACUGCUGAUGCAUUUACCUUGGGCUUUUUUCUUUAGAAAUCUUACAGCCUUUUUGGAAAUUUCCACUCCUCCUCCACUCAGCUUUUAAAAGAAAUUUUUGUUUUUAUGAAAAGUGAAAGCAACUUUCAUGUAAGAUGAGCACAAGUGAGUUGCCAGAAGGUAAAUUCUCUGUGCUGUGAGCAGGCUUCUGUUUUACAUGGGAUAGCCACUGUGAAAUGCAACAACUCUGAACAACAGUUCGUGAGUCCAGAAAAAUACAAAUGAAGUGACAGCAGUGUUUACACUGCUAAGUCACUUAUAUGAGAAGAUACCUUAUUUUGAAGUGACUACUGUCCUCCUUUGUUAACUUGAAACCAUCUGGUUUUAAGCAUGUUUGACAGAAGGAUAGGGGCUACACAGAGACUGAAUCCUACCAGUUUUAUGACAAUCAGAAACAGGAAAGAGGCCAAAGUUCCUCCUGCCCUGGAGGAGAGCCUGCAGCAUGCACUCAAGAUACAUGCAAGGGUUGUCCAGCCAGCAGGGUGGACAUCUCUCACAAAACGGCCUGGCAGCUGGCAGAUGUGCUCCUCAGCAUGUGUUCUGGGUUUCCUGCCACUAGCGAAGGAGGGAGGGAGCUGGAGGUGCUGCAGAUGAUGGCCAGAGGGAAGCACAAAGAACUCUGGAGGGAGCAGUCCUAGCCAAGAUGUUCUGGAGGGGGAGAACACAAAGCAGAAGGGAGCCAAUGUUGCUUGUGGCAUGACUUGUCUAAUUCAGGUACACUCUGAUCUGUCACCAGAUCCAGAGGUAUUUCAACAGUGAAGCAUUGCUUUACGGUUUAAGACUUCAACUAAAGGGGGGAAGACAGAAGUUCUGUUCUUCAGCUAGGAGGUGUGAACUUGAUGAACCGAUUGUAACAUCUGUGUCUCGUAUUCUUUCUCUCUGAGAAAAGGAUAGAAAUACAUGUGUGCUUCAGAGGGGAGCUGAGGUGCUUCAUCCGUUUGGAAAUGAUUUUUCUCCGUUAGGAGACAGAUGCUUUACCUUUUGCAUGAAAAGCUGUAAAUGUUUCAGAAACAAUUAAAGCAGCUUCCUGACAUCCUCUUGGGUGAGGAAAUAUGAUUGCUGUGGGAAAACUGAGGCAAAAAAUCUGUCAUGUGAAUAUUUUAUUUUAAUAGUUAAUGAACAGGGAAAAAGAAAGCAUUACUAUAAAACACAUGAGCAAGAUUGUGGAAAACUUUGGCAGAGAAAGGGACUGAGAUAAAUUCUGUCUUGAUUGACAUCUCCUGAAGGUCAAAGUAUCUACCCACUGUAUGAGGCAGUGUUAAAUUUGCUCAUGGUGUAUAUAUAUAAUCAGAAGACUUUGCCUCUUAGUAUACUUUAUUUCAGAAUGCGUGUACUGCGUAAGGCUGGCUGGUAGAGUAGAAGUAAAUAUUAUGAAAAGUGACUACAUAAAAAGAUAAGCCUUUGGUUUCACAUCAGCAAUAAUAUUAUUAUUUUUUACAUGAAAACCUCAAAUUAUUUUCUGAACAAUACCUAAUGGCCAGACAGUAUGCCACUUCAGGAGAUCUCCAAAGGUCUUGAUCAAAAUAUACCACACCAUUUUAGGGUGUUUGUGAAUAAUAGCAUUUCCUAUUUGGGGAUUUGGAAAUAAAGGCACAGAGAAAUUAAGUAGGUCACACACCAAAUGAGUGGCAAUUGAGGAAGAAAAAGCAGAUGUCAUGACCUUUUCCUCUUUCUUUAACUCAGAAGAUCAGUAGUCUUGCAAGCCUGCACAUCUGUUUUCAGUUUAAGCUGAUUCUUGUUCUUGCAGGAUGUGUGAUGCUGCAGACGAUCCAGUUGUUUUGACUCCCUCAUCCCAAGAGCUAAGGCAUCAAAUCAGUUACUCUAGGUUAGUGUCAAUUCUCUGCUAGGACAAGCCUCCUUUUUCAAAGAAGGGCAACAAAGCUGUGAGGGGUCUGGAGCACAGGCCUUAUGAGGAGCAGCUGAAGGAGCUGGGAUUGUUCAGUCUGGAGAAGAAGCUCUGGGGAGACCUUAUUGUUCUCUGUAACUACCUGAAGGGAGGUUGUAGUGAGGUGGAGGUCAGCCUCUUCUCUCGUGUGACUAGUGAUAGGACUAGAGGGAAUGGCUUCAAGCUGAGCCAGGGAAGGUUCAGGCUGGACGUUAGGAAAUACUACUUCUCUGAAAGGGUGGUCAGGCACUGGAAUGGGCUGCCCAGGGAGGUAAUGGAGUCACUGACCCUGGAGGUGUUGAAGGAACGUUUGGAUGUUUUGUUGAGGGACAUGGUUUAGUGAGAGCUAUUGGUGAUGGGUGGAUGGUUGGACUGGGUGAUCCUGUGGGUCUUUUCCAACCUUGGUGAUUCUAUGAUUCUAUGAUCUCUAGUAGAUUACAGACUGAACACAUACCAAGUAGCAUUUUAAACUGUAUUCACAUUGUGGCAGAUUGUAACUAUGUGUAUACUUAAGUACCAGUAUAAAUUGAACAGUUAACUCUAAUACCUGCGGCAGUUGCUUUCCCCCACUAGACCUCUGUACAUUUAUAUCAUUGUAUAAAUGCUUCUGUAUGUCAAGCAUUCUAUGAAAGAAAAAGAGAAACUUCAGCUGGUAGGAGAUUAAAAAUUUAUGGUGAGAAAAGACAGGGCCACCCAUAAGUAUCAGGUAUACACUGACACUAAGUGAUUAUUUUAGAUUUGUUUGCAUGUUUGUUUUUAGCUCAAGCUUUGGAAAUUGACAAUGCCUUUAUUUAAUUCCACUGAACUCAAUGUGAGGUUUACCAUACAUUUAAGCUGAACUAUACCAGUACUGAAUAUUGUGAAAAUCUCACUCCUACACAUACCCACUUUCACUUUUGUGUUCUUGAAUCAGAUUUGGCAAGUAAAUGAACAGAAAUGGGCAUUAUUACAUAUCCCAGGAGAGCUAGUGCUUUCCAGAAUGCUGUCUGUAUUUCAGAAUUGCUGUGCUUUUAAUUGUCUUGCAGCCCAGUUUGUCUUUGAUGGGUUCUCUCUCAAUGGGUUCUCUCUCUGGCCUUGUAAAAUCCAUAAAUUUGUGAAGUAUACCAGACAAGAACCCUUUGCUCUUGCUUGUGCCAUUCCUAACUUGUGACACAAAUGGAAACAAGGCUAAUUCUGUAAGAUUCUCCUGAGAGGAAGAUAUGUGAGGACAACACUGUCUAGCCUUCUGAAGUCUUAGGCUUGUUUCUUGGAUUUAAUUCCUUAACUGUGUCACAAGUUUUGGACUGCUCGAUUCCUCUCCCUGGGCCAUGUACUCCAAUUCUGAAAUCAUCUAGAUUCUCUGUGUUAAAUGUCUAUGGUUUUCUUUGUCACUUAGAGUCUGAAUUGUCCCUUAUUUUGUAGAAGGGGAAUUCACUUCCUAGUGGUGUCAACAGCAGAAAUAUGUGAACUGUCCACUUGUGUUAUGGUCACGAUGAGGUCUAGAUUCACCGCUAACUAUAUCAGAAGGAGGCCUAAGAUGGAAAGUAUCUGACUACCAACUGCCCUUUACUCCUAAGAAAUAGGCAUUUGCAUUCUUUGUAUCCUGGAAAGGAGAAUCACCAUUCUGAAUGCCAUGCUUAUUCUCAGCAUGAUGUGUGUGAUGAAGAAGGCACUCAAAGAAAGAAUCAAAGCUAGGAUGACAUCAAAACAAAUGCUUCCAUUUUUAUUCUCCCUUCCAUGGUGGAUUAGUUACAACAGAAUGAAACACCAGAUAACUUGAAAAUAAAAGCCCGUGUGUGUAAGUAGACUAUGGCAGUUUAUUCUAAAAGUAAAUUCUUCUCUCACUUCUCAAACUACAGCUCCAACAACAUAAUCCCCUACUUUGCUUUCUUUGACACACCUUCUCAAAUUCGCUGGCCAGCCCAUAUGGUUGCUUUGAGAUUUUUGCUGUUCUGUGUCACUUGCUUGUCUUUCAGAGCUGUUAUAGAUAAUUGCUGGACCUAGUAUCUACUGAUAUGACAUUGUGCUUGGCAUGUGAUAUGAAGGGAUGUUACUUCAGUGCUCCAAACCCUUCAGUAGACUUUGAGAUAAAAAGUUCAAACAGUGUCCCAGCUGAGCACUCAACACACAUAGUGGUGAAAACCAUAGGAAAUGGGAAGAGGGAGCUUUUCAAGCAGGAGUCUAAGGAGACAACGUCAGUCUGGGUUCUCCUUUAAAUGGACAGUACCCUAUACAUCAAAAAAAGAAGGAAAGGAAAGAAAAGGAAAGGAAGGGGGAGAGAAGAGGAGAAAAGAAGAGAAACAGAAGGGAAGGAAAAGAAGAGAAAAGAAAAGAGAAAAGAAGAGAAAAAAGGAAGUGUGACUAAUCUUUUUUUCCUUCAUUUUAUAUGUUAUUUUAUCUUACAAUGACUUACCCUGUGUGGUGCUGUUCAGCAUGCAAACAUUGCAGAUGAAUACAAUCCCAAGCUCCAACAAACUGUUCCCUCAGCCAGAUAGUGCUGACUUCUGCCUCAGGACACAGUAGAACAGUCACAACACUGAAUUGCAUUCAUCUGGUGAAACUAUUGGGGAAAAUAAGAGUUCUAGAGAGUAAGUAGAUGAGUUCUCAAGUAGCAAUCAAAGUAAAAUGUGUGCAUAAAAGGAAUGUAGGACUCAUUUCCCAAGCAUGUAAUGUGGAAGCCAAUUUGUAAUCAAUGGCUUUCUUUUCACAUGUUCAGUGAGGAAAUACUUGUUUUCCCAGCUUUAUGAUCAUGAAGCAAGGUGGACUGUUGUUUGAAGCAUACUUUGUGCUAGUGACUUUUUCUCUAGUCUUGAGCAAGUUAGUAAUUUUGUGUGGUUUUUGAUAGCUGGAAACAGUGGUACUGAUUUCUGCCAUAAACAGCUUGUAAAAAUGUUGAUAUAUUAGGGGACCAGAACACAGUGAUCUGAGUAAUACAUUUGUCUGGUACAUUAGUAACAUCUCUGUGAGCUCUACUUGUUUUCUUUCCCAAAGAAAAUGUACUUGCAUACAAACAAAACUACACUUUCAACUUUUAUUUCAGUACAUGAACAUGAAGACAGAAGAAAGACAUGCAGUUGCAUGGUUGUGCUAAAUAUGUCCUCCAUUAUUUGUGACAAAAUUAGUUUUUGGACUCUACUGAUUAGAACAAGACACAGAGUUAUUACAGAAAAUAUCAGCCAUAGGAGAGAAACAUUCUCUGAGCUUUAUACCACACUUCCCAUUCUUUUGUCAGCUUACAUUAUAAAUAAAUAACAAAGCAAUUUGACACAUGCCCAUUGAUUAAAAAUAAAAGUUGUCAGAGUGAGAGGAGAAAGACAAAAAUAUGAAUUAUUAAUAACAAUAUUAAGCAAUGCAAAAAAGAUGCUUAACAUGCAGGAAAGUCUCUGAAAAGUCACUUAGUGAAGGGGAAGGAAAGGACAGCUACAGAGACCUUGCCUCCACUACUUUGUGGCCACUUCCUCACUACCUAGUCUAGCAACUUGAUCCUUGAAGGUCAGGGUGGCCAUACAAGAAGGAAGGGUGAUUCUGUUGAUUUCUGUUAUCCUGUUUACUUCACCUCUAUUGUUUCUAGCAUGCACUACCAGCAAGCAUGAAGACAUCAUGUAAGGUAUGGAGUAAAUUUAAAUCAAUCAUGUUCAUGAUUGAAUUGGCCAUUUUGUGUUUCUGAGCAAUCUUCUUGCCGGUGAGAUUUGAACAACAGAUUGAUAAAAUGGACACUUCUGUGGCAGAAGGGAGGCUAAUUUAAACUCUUUCUAAUUUGGUAUAUCACAGGUACCUGGGAUUUAGUAAAGGGAUAUUAAGGUGUGCAAAAAUAUCGUUACUGCUAGUUGUAGUCUGUGUUCUGUGUACAGUGUAUUGCCCCAGUUGAUGUGCCAAACACUAGCUGGAGUAAUUAUGCAUUUCUUUUCCCACCUUCUGUUGCUUAUUUUGGUUGCAGCUAUUUCAAUGUUUUCAUUUACCAGGACAGUUUGAAUGGCUACUGGGUAUACUGACCAUCCUAGCAAUAUUUAAUUUUCUAUCCAUGGAGAUCAGAUUUCUUUUUUUUCCACUGAAGAGGAAAGGAAGAAAAAGUAUACUUGCAAAGAGUAAGAAAGGUAAUGACACAACUUCUCUGAAAACUGUAGAAUCUCACUUAGUGACUGUCCUGCUUGCUGAAAAAUGACUGCUCUGAGCAGAUAAUAAAGCGUGCUAUCACAAUAGAAGAGCUACUCAGAAAGUUUUCCUGAUCACGUAGAACCAAAGGUCCUAUUGUGGUUAAAAUGAUGGCGUUUGUAGAGGAGCAUUGUAUAUUUCACUUCUUCACGUCCAGUCUGAAGAUUGCAUUAUGUGUAACUGGAGAGAUAAUAUCAUAGAGAAAAUGACUGCAGGAGUCAGGAGUAGUAAAGCUGCUAGUCUAUGCUUAUGAUGUUAAUGUUUUGAAUUAACAAACUGUUAAUGAAUUCACAACAUGAUAUCCUAUUUAUUGUGCUUUAACUCUGGAAAGCUCCCUUUUAUGCAUCUUUGGUUCAAGUAAGGGCUAAGCACUUGUAGCUUUUAUGGGUUUCAUUAAGAGUCAGAAAUGCUCAGAGCUUCUGAAACUGAGGUCAAAUGAUCUUCUCUCUGGCAUUUAGUUGCAUAUGGUGUGGGUACCUCCAUCUUAUCUCCUUAUUUCAACUUCAGUUGCAGUUAGCUGGAGAAUAGUACGUACUUAGAGGUGUGAUUAAAUUUAUCACAAUGAAAGGCAUCUGAAAUACUCUUGUGUAAGUGCCCACUUCUGUUCACAGACUGUAAAGUCUGGAUGAAGCAGUUAAAAAGUUAACCAAGAUUCUUCUGUGUGUGUGCCUUGAGCUGAGUAACUGAAAUCAGGGAGUUGUUCUAGAAAUGUUAGACUUGGCUUUUCUGGUUCUGUCUGUGAAAUGGAGGCACUACUUUGUUUUGUACGUUGUGAGAAAAUUGCAGAAUUGCAAAAACAGUUUGGGCUGGAAAAGACUUUAAAGACCUUCCAGUUACAACCCACCUCCCACUAGAGCAGGUCACCCAAAGCCUCAUCUAGUCUGGCUUUGAACACCUCCAGGGAUGAGGCAUCCACAGCUUCCCUAGGCAUCCUAUGCCAGUGCCUCUCAACCCUCUGAGUAAAUAUUUUUUUCCUAACAUCUUAUUUAAAUCUGCCCUUUUAUUUUAAAGCCAUUACCCCUUGUCCUAUCACUGUACUCUCUGUUAAAGUAUCCCUCUACAGUUUCUUGUAGAACUACUUCAGGUACUGGAAGGAUGCAAGGAGGUCUCCCUAAGGCCUUCUCUUCUCCUGUCUGAACAAGCCCAGCCCCCUCACUUCACAGGAGAGGUGCUCCUGCCCUCUGAGCAUCUUCGUGGUCUCCUUUGGCCACUCUCCAACAGCUCCAUGCUGAGGGUCCUAGGGCAAGAUGCAGCACUGUAAGUGGAGCCUCAUGAGAGCAUAGUAGAGGGAAUCGCUUCCCUCUCCCUGCUAGCCACACUUCUUUUGGUGCAGCCCAGGAUACAGUUGGCUUUCUGGGCUGCAAGCACACACUGUCAGCUAAUAUCAAGCUUUUAAUCCACCAGUAUCCCUAGGUGUUUCUCUACAGGGCUAUUCUCAAUCCAUUGUUUCCCAGCCUGUAUUUGUGCUUGUGAUUGUCCCUACCCAGGAGCAGGACCUUGCACUUAGCCUUGCUGAACCUCAUAAGGCUCUCACAGGCCCACUUCAAGCCUACCGAGGUCUGUCUCGAUGGCAUUCCUUCCCUCCAUCAUCUCAAUUGCACCACUCAGCUUGCUGUCGUCUGCAGGCAUGCCGAGGGUGCACUCAGUUCCCCUGUUCAUGUCACCAACAAAGCUGCUAAACAGUACUGGUAAGAUAGACUUCUCUUAAUUAGUACACUGUGUAUAAGGGUAAGAGUUCUUGUUAACUCCUAGAUGGUUUGCAUUUACAUUUUGUGAGCUCUUUCUACUUUUACACGUAGUAUGAGUAAACAUUAGCACUGAAUGAUUGUGUCAGUUUGUCUCAGCAUGAGUACCAUACACUAUUGCUAAAUUUGGCUUUAUAUGAAUUAUUUGUCUCUCUUAAAUAAUUAGUACUUCUAAUCUACUAGAUCUGGUCCUUAGGGUUUUGGUGGACAUUAAUUUGUACAUUAAAAGACUGAUUUUAAGAUAACGUUAUUGGUUUGGAAAAGUUAUACAAACCAAUAUUUGCUUAGCAGAGCCCAAGCACAGAACAAACUGAAUGAAACAGAAUGGCUUCUGUGGCAGGAGUGAGGUGAUGGAGAAGGAAACAACUAUCCUUUAUCACAUGUACUCAGAACUGUAGCUGAAGUCAAAUAACGACAUGUAAAGAGAUACUAGCACGCUAUGCCUAGCUCUCCUGGGACUGGAAGGCAAUUGUUUCAUAAAUCUACUGGUACCAUAUUUAGCCUUAUUCUAAAAUCUUUUUCAAAUGUCUGCAAGGAAAUCUUCAGAUGUUUGAAGAAUUUUGUCCUCUGAUGAGGAGAUUCUUAAGAAAAUGAGUAGGCUUUAAAAUUAAGCAAAGAUUGUUAAGAGAACCUUUGAUAAGGAAUUUUAAGAAUCUGAGAGAAAGCACUUUAAUAAUACUGUUAGAGUAAUUUUCAUCAGUCUUACUACACCCAUGUGCAGUAUUUCUACUCUGUAAACUGGAGCAUAUUUAUUUAAAUGAUUUGCCAAAUAUCUUAUCAUGGGUAAGUGGCAAGCUGCAAAUGGAACCCAGGAGUCCUAAUUUGAUUUCUCGUUGAAUUCAAAGACAGUAUUCAAAGCCUCUGAAAGAAAAACACUCAAGAAUUCAACAGUAACACUGCGUGAGGAGUCUCCCAUUUCAAUAAAUGUGUGGUUAUGAUAUGCCUGUACUUCACUGACCAAGGUCCCUGAGGUUGCUUUCAAUCCAAACCCAUGUCUCCUUUGUGGGUGCACAUUGCACUACCAGAUCUUUCAGUGCUCUGAACCAAAAGUCUUGUUCUUAAUGGACAUACUGGGGAAAAUACAGCCAUCUAAAAACACCACCAUUGCCAGUGAAAAAAGCAAGUAUGGGUGAAAUAAAAUCUGUAGAUUCAUAUGAAGCAAGCUGCAGCUUGAAUGCUUCUAUCAGUGCUGGGUUUGUUUUGUUUUGUUUUGUUUUGUUUUAGAGAAGUGAAGAUCAGACAGCAGAGGAUAUUAUUUAUCUUAAAACUCUGUUCUAUCUAUUUGCCAUCUCUGUGAGAUCUUGAAUAAAUGUAGAUAAGUCUCAGUAUUUUUAAAUUUGUAUUUUGAAUUUGACAGCACACUGGAUGAGCUUUACAGAGAGGUAUUUCAGUGAGAGGUUUUUGAGAGAAGGCUCUUCCAGUCAGCUUGUCUUCCCAGUAUUUUUUGCAGUACGUGAUGACAAAAGGUGAGAGCAAGAGCAAACAAUAACCAUCUUAGGAAAUCUUGGUAAACAUUUGAAAUCAGUAGGUUAAGUUGGCUGGUGUAAAAGUGUUGUGUAGAUCUAGUCCAUAAAAUCCAAUCUCAUAAUCUUGAAAGGAAAAUUCAAGAGUCAGGGAAAAUGCAGUUCAACUUGAUUUGCACAGUCAGGACUUUUGUUUGUGAACUUCUGUCAGGACUGAUCUCAGUAUUUAUAUAAAAUAUAAAACUGAUGUUCUUCCUUAGAAUUCCAGUUUCUGCCAGAGUCAGAAGAAAUACUGUGUGUUACAGCCAGUUUACUUUGCAGAGAUAGAGUAUGAAUUUCCUCAGCCAAGACAUGGAGAGCAUAAAGAGGAAUUCUGCGAGCAGUUUCUCAUUAAUAUCUAAUUUUGUGUUUGUUUGGCCAGAAACAGAAGGAAUUUGAUUUUCUUACAUUUGUGCUGAAAAUAAGAAGGUCUGAAGAAUAGAUGGAGAGGUACAGCUUAAUACACAUGCACUAGCUGUCUGUACAGUAAGUACGCAGUGCUUUUGCUUAAACAUGGGUAUUUGGUACAACUUGAUACGCCUUCUGACCUCUUGCUGCUUUUCUCAGAAGCCAGGUAUCUCAGAAGUGGCCGGUCAUAUUUGCUAGCUGUGUCCAAAUAUGUUGAAGCUGUAAGGCUUUUGCAGUGGAACUUGAUAACUACGUUUAAGCAAAUGAUUUGAGCUCUAAAAAUAAAACUUUGCACAUUUGUAACCACCUCUGGCACAUAACUUAGUGAUGAUAAUGCUACCAUGGUUCAGGAGGAAUCCUUUUUCUAGCAGUUAUUAGAGGUGAGCAUACAGAUGAUAGAUGUAGACCAGAUGAUUUCAUUAAUGAUUACUUGAUUACACUGGUGAUCCUCUGGAAUUUUAGGUCAGCAUAUAGGCUGGGAUUUUUACCUAUAAAUAACCAUUCUGUGUGCAAUAUAUGCAGUGUGUGGGAUGGACAGUUAAGAAUAAUUAGUGUACAGUUUUAACUUAGCUGACACACUUAUGCUGAGUGAAUGAAUAUGACUUGAGUUCUCAGAUUGCCAUGCAUUCAUGCUUACUAUUAGUAGAAAAAAAAAUCUGUAAGUUAAAUUGUUGCAUUGUAACUUCUGUGUAACAGAUGUUUUUAAAAAGUGAGAAUUCAAGCCCAUGUUAUUGAAGUCUGUGCAAGUUAAGAAGAUGUAUUAAAUAUCUGCAGUUCAUUAAAUUCUCUAGCAUAAAGAAAAAAUACAUAUUAUCUGAAGUUACUCAAAGGAUUAUACUAUAUAUUUUAAAAUUCUAGGUAAUACGUAAUGCAUAUUGAUCUUGUCAUAAUUUUACAGGUGUCAUUAGUGGCAUUGUUUCUUUUUAGCUGAUAAUGCAAGGCUAUAUAUCAUGUCAGAUCAGUAAUUAUAUGAAGCCAUCAGUUUGGUUUUCUGAGCCCUUUUUUUAUUUUUGAAGAUACAAUCCUUAGUAGAAGCAAUGCUGUGAAGUAUGAAUCGUUUUCUUCUAUUUCCUGCAGUAGUACUCUUCUACAGCUAUUUUCUAUCAUGAAAAUAAGCAUAAUGACUUUCAGAAACUUUCUCCUCUGCCCUUAUUCCAGCAAACCUCCCAUUGACUUCUGUAAGUAGAGACCAAAUCAAGGGUUAGCAAGAUACUUCAGGAUUUUAUGCUCUAUUUAAAGGAACUUGGAAGGAUAGAUUUCUUUGGUGAUGAAAUCUGAGGAGCUCUUAAAUACUGCCAACUGUUUCUUAACCUUUUCCAGAAAGCAAGCUAUAGAUACUUUCUCAGAAACCUGUAUUUUGUUGAUGAUCAGGUCUGAAGGAUUUUGCUUUGUGAAACUUCACCUAGAACCGGACCUGGAGAAAAGAGAUUACCAGGAUCAGUUUGUUUAUUUUAUUCUCUGAUGUGUUAGUGUUCCAUACUGGACAGUUACAUUUGCUGCCUUUAAUACUUGUUUUCAUUUGGUCUACCUUGAUAAAGACAAAGUUUUAUGGUCUUUGCUUACACUGUGAAAUGUAUUUUGAUUGUACACAGUUUUCAGUGAAUUUGGUGAGGACUCUGUCCAUUAAUUUCAUGACUAAAUGAUUUAUUUUCUGUUCAAUAUUCAGGAGAGGAAAUAAGAAGACUGAGGUUCGCAUCCCCUGUUGUCCUUGGAUCAUGGUGUAGACUCUGGCCAACUAUUUCUGAUGCAGAGGGUUUAGUAACUUUGAUUAAUUCAUGAUCACAGAGUGCUUUGGGCUCCUGGGAUAAAAAGCAAAAUAGAAUUGCAAAGCGUUAUUAAUGGAAAGUAUGCUUGACAUGCUUAGUAUACUAUAUUAAAUAUCGUUUGGGGUUGAGUACAUUACAAGAGUGCGAGUAACUCAGCUGAAGGUAGUUAUGGUGAUGUCUCUAAUUGAGAGAAACAGAUUCUUAAUCAGUGUAUCACAAUUACAGCCUUCAUGGUAACUUCGUGGUUAGGUUUAUGGAUCAAUUUUAUUCAUCUGAAUAACAUAUGGCCUAGGAACUAGAUGCUGACAACAUCUUCUGAGUUUGGGGAACAUAUGCAGUUACUUCUGGUAUUGAUGUCUGGGAAUUUCUUUUCCUCUCUUAUCUGGACUUAACAAGCCUUCAGUUGCCAUUUAAUUUCAAAGAGCAACACCAUUCAAUGAAGCAUGUAUUCUCCCCUUCUCCUAGUCGUUGGUAGUAGAAAUUUCUGUUUCAUUAGGAACUCUGUAAAAUAUAAUGAAUUCUGGAUAUAUUUACACUGGGACAAAUCUUGCUUUGGCUUGUAGUAAUACAAGAUUUUCCACUGUGUCCCAAAGACAGGAUUCGGCAUUUUAGGGUCUGUUCCUAUGUUGUAGGAAGCAGUGAUGGAGCACUCUGUGAAAUCAUGGGUACGUUACAGCACCAACUUUUCUUCAGAGUAGCUCAGCUACAAAGCUCUCUUAGUGGAAUUUCAGUAUUUAUGCAUAAUGUGAGAACCAGAGGGAUGUGCACAUCUACAUUAAUAUUUUGCUUUGCUGGCAAUGGUUGCAGUUUUAAUGAAAGUGUCAUAAGACCUGGUGUUUUCCGUAAAAAAUCCACUCUUGAAGUAAACAGAUAAUGUCAAGAACCUCAGUUUUUGUUUGUAAAAGUUUCUAGUUCUCAUGAUUGGAAAGAAGACACUGAAUCAUGAUCAAAGCAUAACAGAGAGACUUAGAAAUGAGAAAAAAUAUAUAAAUAUAAAUAUAAAGCCUGGUACUUAUUAGAUUGCUUAAAAUUUUUUUAAAAACAUGUUUAGAAUUUUCAGGGGGGAAAUGGUGAAAGACGGAAGGGAAACAGUAUGAGAUCAGCAUUGGCGGAUCUCAUUUGCACUUCAUUUUGAGUUUGGUCUGAGAAAUAGUUUCAUGGUCUGAAUACCAGCUCUGAAAUUCCUUCAAGUUGAGUAUCAGCAGCAUAACCUGGAAUAAAAUUCACACCUUCACACCUCUAUAAAGAACUACAUUAGUGAGGUUUUAUUACAUAUUUUGCUAGCCAUUUAAACAAAGAUUGCUUAAACUAUGUACUGUCUGUGCCUGUGUCCAUUCACGGAAAUGUCUGUGUUACUUAUCAGUGUUUCUAUUAGUUGACCAAGAGGUGCACUCGUCGUUCAUUUGUGUGGUGUUUCUGCUUCUCUGCCUGUUUGCUUGGCUGGGUUUCCUUUUCUCUCCACGCUCACAAGUACUUGGGUAGUGAAAGUACUUUCACUAGUACUUGGGUACUAUUCCAAAAGCAUUAUUUUGUUACAUUGUGCUGGUUUAAUUCUUUAAAUUAAGACUGUAUGUAUUGGUACAAGGUAUCUACCCAUUCAGACUCUAGUUGUUAGGAUUGCUGUAGGAAUUACUGGAUGAAAAUCAGAGUCCUUUAUUGUAAGAGAACUGUACUGCAAGAUACUGAGGGUCUUCCGUGGCUUUGAAAGCAAUGAAAUAGCUUUCAAGAUUUAAAACAAGUGUUUAUGAAUAAUGUUUUUUUUCUCUCCGAAUUCCAUUACAAAAAUAACAAUAACAAUAAAACUGCAAAUAAAAUAGUUUGUUUGCCUAGGGAAUUGUUUAGUUUGUUAUUUGGAUUGUAGUGCUGCCCCAGUUCCCAAACAGAAUUAGGGUCUGUUUGUAGUAAAUGUUUGAGUAGAAAUUAAGAGAUUGCCCCUGCUUUAGAUCUUCAUAAUCUUCAUCAGAGAUUCAUACAAAUGAGAGGAGACAUUGCUAUAGGCAAAAUGUCAAAGGACAUUUUGGAGAUAAUCCUGUUGUAGAGAUGGGCCAAGCUAUUCCAAGGCAGAUUUGAAUCAUGCAGACUGUGGUAGGCACAGUACCUGUUCUGUGGAUGAAACAAAACAGUAUUAAGCGAGAUUCUUUCAUUUUUCCUUUUCCCUUUUCCUUUUUUUCCCUUCUCCUUUCUUCUUUCUCCUUUCCAGUUUUCCCUUUCUCCAUCCUUUCCUCUUUCCUGUUUCCCCUUUCUCCAUCCUUUCCCUCUUUUCCUCUUUCCUUUUCUUUUCAUUUUCCUUUCUCCUUCCCCUUUCCUUUUCCCCUUCCUUUCCCAUUCCAUUUCCUUCAUUCUUUCCUUCUUUCCUUUGGUUCUUUAUUUUUUAAAUGCUGAAGAUCUUAAAGAAUUCUGCUGAAAAAUUGACUGUCAGAGUGAAUAUUUCUGAUAUUCAGCUGACAGUUUUGCACUUAAAAAAAAAUUGUAAUGCUGUCAGUAAAAGGAUUUUUUGCAAAACAAAAAAAAACUCAUUCAGCUGCAAAUAGAUUGUAAUUGAAUUUUUCACACACACACACAUAUAUAUAUUUUAAUUAGCCUUUGUUGGGGAAAAAGUUGGAACCUAGUAAUAAUACCUGUGACUCACCGGUUUCUUUAACUGACAUGGCUUGAAAACUUGUUGAAAAGAACCUAAAAAUGCCUAUCAGUUUCUAAGGGCAAAUACAAGUCACCCACCAUACUCUUUUUCAAACUUUUGGCAUUCCUAUUGGAGACACCUAGAUCUAACCAGAAACAGUGCUUUCUGCAGCAGGCUACAGGUGGAGAUUAUGUCCAGAAUUUGAAGUCAGAUCCUAACUGUUCUGUAAGUUUUGUUUCUCUUACACGCGAUUUUUUCUGUUUCCUAAAUAGAACAGUUCCUUGCAGGAGAAAAUCCAAAGAGAGAUCCAGUUCUUUUCCCUGCCUUGCUUCCACCUGUAGAUAAUCUCCUGUGAGUAAAUUAGGGCCUAUGCCAGGAAUGCUGCUUCCCCAGCCAGCAGCAUAAGGAAAAUGUCUGGCUGUGCAGAGCCAGAUUUCCCAUCUCUGUGUUUAUUAAAGUUAGAAGGAGAAAUAAGAGCUUUGGAAACCUAAAAAAUAAAAUGAAAACAAACAAAUUAAAAAAUGCAUCAGCUGGCACUUGAUGCUAGAAAUUUUAUAUAAUGCUGACACAGAAAUGAGGUCUUCAGCUUAUGUUUUCAUCCAGUAAGUAUUAUAGCUCCCUGAAAACUCGAAACUCUUUAAACUUCAUUUGCUAGACCACCUUAGACCAGUUAUGAAGCUACUGUCUUUUUCCUAAAAUCAGGUGGAUGUUUUUGGACCCUGAGGGAUAACAGCGAAGCUACAGAGGAAAUAUACAGUCUGCCAGAUAGUUACGAUGCAGUUUAGGAUGAAGGGAGCUGUAUGCUAACAGAUCUUAAAUAAUAAUCUGCAUACUGCCACAGAAAGACACAGAAAAUUUAAAUCAAUCUGAAAUCCUUCCAGCUAAAAAUAAAAUAAAGGGAAUGGUGCAACUUGGUGAAUGUAUCUUGACCUCAUGCUAUUUUUACAAGUCAGACAGAUGUGCAGCCACUGAUAAGCUGGUACCCAGGACUAGCUAUCAAAUCAGAAAUCUGUGGACUCACUCUUCAAAUCCCAGCACUAAUCGCAAUGAUAAAGAGCUACCUUUCGAUUAAUCCUGCCCUGGACUUUAGACGAAAGAUACUGCAGUUUAAUUACUGAGCGAAAUCCACUUUGUCUGAUCUGCCAGUCUGCACUGUAAUGUCAUAAUAUAAUCAGCUUCACCCCUGUCUGAAGCUCCAGGGCUGUGAAGUCCAAGGACUUGUUUGAUUGGAAGAAAUAAAACGAUGUUCAAACAACCACCAGCCACAGUGCUGUAAUUAUCAAAAUCUUGUUUGCAUCUGUCUGUCAUUUUUGCCACUGUUUUUUUAUGACACUGAAAGGCAAGGAGAGAUUGUGGUGGAUAAGAACAGCGACCUGACAGAUGACAAAUAAGAUGUGGGAGGGUUUGCUUGGAGAAAAUAAUCAUUGUAAAAUAUUCAGGCUAAUUAAACUGGGUCUCUUUCUUAUAUAUUUCCCAUCGGCUUCAGUGACACAUGCAGGUUCAAGCAAAGCCAGCCAUUGGUACUGUCAUCUCAUAAUUAAAACCUGUAACUGAUCUGGGAGUGUCUCCAGCAGGGGUUCCAUUGAGGGGACAGAACAUGUCGGUGAGUGAGAAAUACAUUUUUACCCAUGUGAGAGCUGCAGCAGGGCUGCCAAUGUGUGCAGUGUCCCCUACCUCCAACAGCAGUGGGCACUGGCCAUGAUUUGAAGAGACCAUUUCUUCAGAUAGAGGAAUUGGUCCUGGCUGACUGGUAGGAAUCACCGAAUGAGUCUUGAACAGAUGUAGCUCUUGGCUCCCACAGCUCUAUGGGUCUGCAUAACAAGUUCCACUAGAAGCAAAGGGAGGGUUUAGGGUGCUUUUGCUCUCUUAGUGUCAUGCCUUUCGGUGUCUUUCUCCCCAACCUGCUUUGUUCAGAGUGCCUCCAAGGUGUGUCAGUAGCAAUGUCUUUUCAGUGGACCACACAGAAGUUCAUUACCUGCUUCAGACUUGUUUCACAGCACUGGCCAUAUACCAAUUGGGCAGCAGUAAUGUCCUGUUACCUCUAACCACAGCUGUACUGGGUCACUAAAAGAAGGUGAGAAGAUUUAAGUUUUCUAACACAUGCUUUGUUUGGAUAUCUUUGUGGUGAUUCAGGGAGGUUAUGACAGUGGUAUAGGAAGAAGCUGGCAAAGCUCUCAAAAAUAGUUUGCGUUCAUUUUAUUGCUAAGACAGAGAUGCUAAUGACCAGAGAAGGAAACAAAGCUUUCAUCUAGCUGCCCUUCAGGGAGGGCAUUCUAUCCUGUGCUGAUGAGGUAAAGUCUGACUGAUUUUCUUAGUGUCUUUUGACUGCUUAAGCUUUCUUCCCCCAGCCACCUUCAAGAACCUGAUAUAUCUCAACUUAUUUCUUAUUGUUCUACAUUCUUUGAUUUCUCUUUUAUAUCUGUCUUGGCUAUUUCUAGCUAGAUCUUCAUUUUCUCUCAUAAUGUAUUCCCUACAACCCAUGUCAUUUGAUUUGCAAUUAUUCUCUCUUCCACCCUUCUAGCAUGGAGAUCUCACCCUUUUACUCUUCUCCCAGCUCUACUCCCCUAAAAACACUUGCAAUUUCCAUCUCUAUCCAUCUGUUUCCAUAGAGUGAGCUACUUGACUAUCAGAAUGACAACUGCAGCUCGAUUAAGAUCCCUGUGCCACUUCCUCAUCAAAGGGCUGUCUUGUUCAGCACCUGUGACUAAAGAGGCCAAGCACAGGAUACCUCAAGGUAUUCUGGACUUAUAGCCUGUGGGUGGAUUUCUGUGCAAAGACCAGUUCUCUUCUGUACUGCAAAAUCAGAGCAGUGUCUUAGGGCAAAGACUGGGGAUGAGGAAGAAUAACAGACAGCGGUUGUUAGCUGUAUGUGUCUCUGUCUUAAACUUGCAAUGCAUUUACUUUCUUCCUCUUCCUUUUGUACCCUGUAGCUGACAGCGGUGCCUAGCAUCGCCUGUCAGCAGGGAUGGCAUACAGGGUGUUUUGCAAUGGAAAUCUGGCUUUAAACCUAACUGGGUUUGUCAUUAGUGUUUUAACUUCUGAAUAGUAUUUAAACAUUUCAGUCUAUGGACUGAGUUUCAGCAGGAUCUAUCCAGAAGAGGCUGUCUAGAGAAUCAUCUCUGAACCAGCUUUGACCAGCAGCAAUGACCCCAGUGCUCUAUUUGUACAGUACUUUUGCCCUCAGUCUAAUCCUUUACUUUAGAAAAAGAAAUGUCAGAAGGAAGAUGUGCACAGCUUCUUUUAAAUCUCAGGAGACUACUUUUCAGCAUGAAGGAGUCCAUCUACUUCCAAGGCCUUGCUAAUGCCAGCACACUGCACUGAUAUUCUUGCUUCCCAAGGGAAAAAUAGCAGGGGAACCUGAAAAAUAGUUGUAUGGGCAGUAACUACAGAAAUUAUUUCUUUUGCAAAUUAGAGGAUAGUGGAGAGCACAGGGUAGUGCAUAAUGGCACUUUAAAAGGAAGGAAGAAAUUAUUGUGUUUUGAUGAGAAUAUUCUUUCACAACUGGAGAAGGAUAUACGUGGGGGAGUGUAUGUAUAUAGUCAGGUGUUUGGUAUGCUUACAAGCAUGAAGAUGGGAAUUUUAACAUAUUGUCUGUCAUAUACUUUGGUGAGGUGUGUGAAGUUUUAUGUCUAUGAAACCAUACUGCAGCCUGGUUAAAACUUUGGGGCUUUUUGCAUAGAUAUGGCCUAGGUUAUGAGGGUAGCUUAGAGCUACCAACAUGUUAUUGCCAUUAGCACUUCUCAGAGUGCUGAGACUGCCAUUAGCACUUCUCAGAAGGCCUGACUUAGAGUAUUCCUUGCUGUAUACAUUGUUUGAGCCUCUUACCUGCUCUGGGAAAAUGAGUUUCUCUCCCUUUGCUCUCCAUCUCAGUGAUACUUGUAGGUCCCAGAUGUCUUAGAAUAAAUUCCCUGACAUCUUCCAAGAAACCAUGCUGCUAUUAGCUCUAGUACUGUGUGAAUUAAUGAGUGGGGUUUUUUGAUGUGCAAAAUCCAAGCAGUGAUGAUCUAUACUUAAAGGACAUAGCAGAGAUGGGAGACCAGGAGAAAUGGGAGAAGCAAGGAGAGGAGUAAUUUGAGGGUGGAUAGUAGAGAAAAAGGGGUAGACUCAUAUCCCAUCCUUCAUGGCCUAGUGAUGUCGUCAGUUCUGGUUCUUCAGUAUUUAUAUUCCUCAGCCCCCAAACCACUUGCUUAUCACAGAAAAAUAGAAUUGUUUGAGUUGGAAGGGACCUUUAAAGGUCAUCUGGUCCAUCUUCCCUGCAAUGAACAGGGACACCUACAGCUAGGUAAGAUUGCUCAGAGCCCCAUCUAGCCUGACCUUGAAUGCCUCCAGGGAUGGAGCAUCCAGCACCCUUUUGGGCAACCUCUGCCAGUGCUUCACUACCUUAUAACAAAAGACCUUUUCCUUAUACCCAGUCUAAAAGGCUUAUUCACAACCUUGUACUCAUAAGCCUUACCAUUUAGGAAUCCAUAUGCAUGUGGCUCACAAGAUCAUGUUUACGAGCACGUUUUCCCAGCUGAUCCUCAGUUCCAGCUACCCAAAUUCAUGUCCAGUUACCAAUAUAUCUUUUAUUCAUUCAGGAGCAUUUUAUUUCUGGAUAAAUGAAAGCAGAAUUUAAUUCAGAAAAAUGAUAAAUUUUGAAAAGAUUAGGUGAUGAAUUGAAAGAAUACAAAGUGCAAUCAGAUAUUGCUGGGCCCCAAAUGGCAUAAAAAACUUUAUUGAAAGUAGGGGAUAUUUGUAAAUAUCAGGAGCAAUUCCACUCAAAUAUGUGAAUCAAAUCUAACUCCUGGAGAACCAGGGGCAAGAGCUGGAUCUUAAGGCCACUCCUUGUCUGUGCAAGUUACUGGGAAAUAACUCAUUUUCUAAUUUAAAAUUGCAUCAUUGUGUUAUUGUUUUAGUUCUAGAGCUAUCGACAGGGUGUCAUUUCAUCACAAUAUCCUCUUUCUGCUUUACACAAAGACUUCGAUGAAGGGAAUUUUUUGUUCGCUUUUGAUGGCAGAGGUUGCCAUCUCUCCAGGGAGAGAUGCUGCUCAGAGAACAUAGGGAGGAGAGGAGCCACAUUCCCUGCUUAACAUACGGACCUGUGCAACAGCACAAGCUAGCUUCCCAUGAAGGCACUAAAGGGUUCCAUGACACAGUGGGGCCACCAGCUUUGGGAUUCACUAGAAAGCUCAUCUAGGUUCAUACUGCUUUCUAAAUGGAAGCUAAAGGGAGACUGAAUUUAAGCCCAUGACAUUCUGCAAGAGCAAGCAGAGAGUUAAUAUUUUUGGCCUUUGGUCCCUCCAAUGCUGCUAACAAUAUUUUAAGGGCAGAAGGACACUACUAAUUGUGAUGUAACUUGAAUGAUUUCAUCGCCCUACUCCUCUCACUCAGUUGGGACAUUCAUCAGCUUUCUGGUCACUGCUGACCUGGGAUGCCAGCAAUCUGGCAAUCCUAUAAAGCAGCUCAACCAACUUGGAGAUGAUUUAUCCACUCUGGUUCAUAUCUGUAGAUAUAUAUAUAUAUUUUAUCCGUGUAUGUGCGGAACACGCUCAUGCUUAUAAUUGUGUGGAGACUUUCAAUUUUGGUGUGCUUUAUAUGUAUAUAUACUUAACAAAAACAGAACAAAACCUGACUGAACUACAUCAUGUCAAAGAUGAGGAAAAAAUCUCAUUUUAACAUCUUGUUGCCAAUCCCCUAAUCUAUACAUUUUUCUCUAAGCCCACUGCUCUAGUAAAUAAUAAAAUAUCCUUUUGGGGAAUGUUAUCAGUGGUAGAAUCUUCCUCCCCUUUAGCAUGAAGAGCAGUUGAGAAACCAGAGGGGCAGCUUGCAUGGCUGCCAGAGCCUCAAUUGAAUUCAUCCACAGGUCUAAAGAGAUCAAAAUUGUUUGAAUUGAUCCUUUCUGUUGCUUCUGUGAAGAGAAAUCCCUUAAGCCUUUUGCUUUCUUGUCAUGUACAGUCUCCCUUUGUCAGUUCAUGUCCAAGGUCCCCGUUUUCAUUUUUUCUUAGGGAUAGCAGGAGCUCUAGCAAUAUCUGUCUUUAUAAUGUCUGCACUGAGAGAGUAAGAGACCGAGUGUGAGGCUGUGGGGAGAAGGAUAAAAUACACACGGUGAGCAUCUGACCCCUGAGAACCUUACACUGUCUCUGAGAACCGCAACCUUAUCAGGCAUCACAGUUGUGGCUUCUGUGGCAAAGGAUGACAACAAAAGCAACUUUGCCCACCACAAUUAUUAUUCAGAUUUGAGACCUGGGUUUUAAAACAAAUGCAUUUGGAGCAGAGAUGUGGAAAGAAAGAGAAACACGAGUGUUGCUUAUUGGGGGCCCUGCAGACAGAAAAUUAUUGUGUUUCUAACACUAUUGAUUUUGUGCAGCAGCUGAUAUUUCAAUCUGGGUGCAGCAUGUCUGAGAGUCUACGCACACUGUCAAGAAGAAAUAUGAUAGUGUCUUAAAAGAUUAAUAAUAUCGCUGGUCCUCAGGAGGCUUGUCUUAAUUCACUGGCCUGUUCCUUGGCAUGUACUGUAAUUUAUCUAGUCUGAUUUGAAUAGCAAAUGGCAAUCGGCUGCCAUUAGGGAAAUAGGCAUCAGUCUUAUUGAUCCAGGAUGGGCUGGAUUUUAUUUAAGGAGAGCUGCAAAAUGUUAUUAACUUCCGGAUGAGAGGCUGCAGGUGGAGAAUUUUUUUGCAGUGUUCCAAGGGAAGGAAAUUGCACUGAGUCUUGAAAGUCUUGAAAUAGAUAGGAAGAGGGGAGGAUGUGGGAAGUGGGGCAUCAACUGCUACCCAUUUGUUUCCAGAGAAACCCAUUAUUUCCAACACAAAUAUUUGUUUUUCAGGGCUCUUUGUAUGAUUUUGUCAGUGAGGGACUGAGUUAUCUAUGAGUGAAAGCAUUUGGUGAGAAGAAAGUGUGGUGGUUGAUAUUCCAUGUUGAUUGAGAUACAGCUGGAGCUGCGUAAAUGGUUUGUUUUCCAGUCCCCCUUACUGUGCUUAAUAAGAGCUACACAAUUAAUCUCCAGACAUCACGCGUAAUAUGUACUCCUUCUUACAGUCUGCUGUUUGUGUGUUUAGAGCUGCCACCAGUGCUACCUAAGGAGAGUGGCUGAUGUUACUGGGAGGGAGAUAUAACCCCACAGCUGUUGUUGAGGUUUGGUCAUGGUUUCCUGUUCAUACCAGUCCUUGUCUGAAAUAACUGUGAGGAAAAAAAGCCACCGUGUUUGGGUAAUCUUUCAGUGCUGCAAAUCUUCUAGGUAAUUUUUUCAGUGGAUGUUAUUGUUAAAUAUCAUGCUAGAGCCAUGAAUGUGAGGAAAGCAGAACUGGUGCAAUUCCAGACUCUAGAAAAAAAUAAAUUGUUUGGCAUGAUGAGGAUCCUGAAAACUAAGUUUAAAGAAGUAAAAUUGCACUGAAUACUUUGGAAAACUUCCAGUCUCAUGACAUGUCACAGUGAGAUAACCUCCCCAGGGAAGGGGAGAAUGCCCAGCUAUUUGACAUGCUUUGAAGUAAGACUAAGACGAACAUCAAAAAAAAAAAAAAAAAAAAAAAAUUAAAAAAAAAUAAAAGAAAGGAAUAUCCUAAAAGGAAUAAGGAAUACCCUUACUCAGGAGGGAGGAUGGAGGAAAUGAUUAAAUACCAUAGAUCUCUCCAACCUUAAUUGCUGUAAUUCUUUGAUACACCACACUCUCCCAGCAGGAAUCACCUGAAAGGAAGAUUCAGGAGUGCUGUCUAUUAAAAAGCUUAUAGAUACUUCAGUUCCAGCAGGAGGCACUUUAAGGAACAGUGGAGGAGUGUCGUGUGGAGGGACUUCAGACUGGUGUCCUGGGAGACCAGCACUCUGGGGAGUGGUGCAGGAAUGGCAGCUCCCAGCCCUUGUGCCAGGUUCUGCAGGAGGCACCAGGAAGGAAUCACUCUUUCAGGAGAUGGGAAGUACAUAAUGGAGAAAGGGUUGGGGUAGGGAGGAUGUCCACAGAUGGUCAGCGUUAGCUUUUGCCUUUCAGAAGCUUCUCGAGGCUCACAGGGCAAUCUCACAGCAUUUUCCACCAGCACUCACAACAAGGAGAAAAAGGUGUGGGAAUAUUUCAGAGAAUUAGCUUCUUGCUUCAUGCAUUUCUUUUGCACCUAAAAUAUGGGCAUAGGCAAUAAAGCACUACAGGAAAUGGCCAAGCACAAAAGCAAUAAAAUAAAUUGAAACUGACUGUGGUUUUUUUUUUUUUUUUUUUUUUUUGAGCAGCAGUAAUUGCUAUACAUUGUGAUGUUUGCAUAAGAAAUUAGUUAAUGUGUAGGAGAAUGACAUGUGAUACAUUUUAUUUGCCCGAUGACGGUAGUCUCUGAGUGAAUGACUUAUUAAGGUUAAUAAAAAAAAUUUUGCUUGUGACUUGUAAUAAUCCAAUUGCUAGAAUUUAACAUCCCCUCAUGCAUAGUUGCCUAAAGGAGGGAAACUAAAUUACACAUACGUUCUAAUGACCGACUGGCUAUGCUUUUAUUUAUUUCUUAAUGGCGAUUUGAGAACAAACAAUGUGUUCUAAAUUGUUGGUCUGUCUGUCUUUCUGCCUGCCUGGGCAGGAACGUUAUGGCUUUCUUAAUUCUCCUGUGUGAUUUAUCAUCUCCAAUUCAUUGUUUUGCAUAACUCUGCUCAAAAUGAAGAAAUGUCAUUAUUUUGCAGUGAAAAAGUUGUCAUUUGCAUAAUGCCUGCCAUUAAUUAUUGUGAGACUAAUGCAGUUGUUGAUAUUUUUAGGGCACAGUGGUACAUCCUGCACCUUGUAUAAUGUCAUUCUGAAAACAUUGGUAGUUAAUAGGUGCCACAACACUGCACAAGUGCAAGAAAAGAGGAGGCAAAAAAAAAAAAAAAGGAAGGGUAGAGAAUGGAACAGGCUGUGAUCUUUACUUAGCUUUUUCAUUUCCUGAAGUACAUGGUGGGAGACAGCUACAAACAGAAGCAAGAGAUAGGAAGCUGUGACCCCCAAGGGGAUGAGGGAAUGAAGAAAGUGAAAUGCUCCCUUCUACACGUUAGUUGAGAUGGACUAACUAAAACUGCCUCGUGCUGGUGAUCCCUGGAAUAUGAGAAAAUUCAUGGAGGUAGUUAGUGACUGUUAUCCCAUAUCUGGUGCUUUUCCCCCUCGGAGAAGCCUUCUGUUAUUUGUUUUAGUGGCUUAUUUAUUUUUACGUUGGAGUUAUUUUAUGAUUUCAUUUCAAACAUAUAAAGUGAAAAUCCCUGCAUAUACAUAACAAAUAUUAUUUUAUAAUGGCCUUUGCGUCUGUGAGGAGAGAACAAAACAAACAGAUCUGACCCCUAUUAACAAUUUAAUAAAUCUAGUUAUUGAAGUAUAGUUCUUGAUUUCAUCUUUGUGGAUGAAGUUCACUGCUAUUUGAAAGGGUCUCUUGAUGCCAGCCACCAGCAGCUGGAGAAAAAUAUCCCUUCCCAGUUAGAAUUGUACAUUGCCAGAGGAAAACAUCUUUUUCAUUACUUUUUCAUUGUAAAGUUAGCUGAUUUGGCCUACAGAUAUUGGAAGUGGGAAGAGAGAAGAGCAACAUUCUAGGGAUCUAUAAGUUCUGUACAUUGAGAACAUGAAGCUGGACUUUUUCCAGUGCUUUUCCCAAGAACUUCCAUUGCUCCUGAAGUACUUAAGAUGUCAUGUUUUCUGAAUAACGUGCAUAGUAAAUAUAAAUCAUAAUAAUCAAGUGAAGCAAACACUUGAGACACUUGAGUCUCAGGCUGGCAGAAGCUUUCCUACAUGUCUUGUUCAACUAGCACUGCUGCUGCAAGAUAGUUCAAAUGCAAUAGGCUUUCUUCUAUGCCUUUUUUUCCUUUUUGGCCCUUAAGCAGAGAAUGUUAGUGAGCAUGCUAAUGAAGAGAAGUUCGUUCAGAAGGCCUGUAUCAUCAUAACUAUGGCUUAGUGUAUAUUUAGCAGGAAAUAAAAAGCACUAGGAUCCUUCGCUAUUCUAUAAGAUUGCUAGGUCCUCUCUUUGUUUGCUGACGUGUCUUAAAAUGCCAGAAAGAGGAAAAAAUGGCGAUUUACUCCUCAGAUACUGCAUUUCACUGCCUCCAAAGGGAUGUUGUUUCUUCUCCCAUUUUCUGCUAUUAGAAUUAAAACAACAACAAAGAAAAUUAAACCACAAAAGUUCAAAUAAUGCUAAAGAGUCUAACUGAAUCCCACAAAGAGCAGGAAAUUCAUCUCCAAACAUUGCCAGUCUGUCCUCAGCUCACCCUAUUGUCACAGAGAACUGAAAGUUGUUCCUACAGUGGGUGAUCUUACCAACCACAAAUGCUGCAAUAUGUAGUCACAAUAGAAAACAAUAGAAGAACAGAGAUGGAGCUUUACUCUUGGUUUCUUGGCUUCAGUAAGCAUAAAAUGGACUCAUAGUGUACAUUAGGGUAGUUUUCUGUGUGUUUUAAUGUGCUUGGAGCACAAGUACAGUAUGAAGUGUAUUUCACAAGGUUGUAAUUCAUAGUCAUGAACUAAAUCCCAACAGUAAAUUGCAAUCUUUAACACUACAGAAAUAAUCCACGUGUCAGUUGUUAGUAUCUUAUACUCAUACAUACCACUGCCCAUGCUUUUUAGAAAAAUAUAAUAUAAAAUACCUCAUGUUGGUAAGAAUACUACAGAUAACCAAUCAGGAGGAGAAAUUUCUGCAAAACAUUAUAAAAACUAAGUACCAAAACUAAUAAUCUGAAUAUGUCCAAAGCCUUUGCAAAUCUAACAGCUUUUAACCCCUAGAGCAGCUUUUUCCACUUGGUCAGUGCCUGAUAUCCCUACCCUGUUGGAGAACUUCUCUGCUGUGGACAAACAGCAGGUCUGUUGGAAGAGCACGAAUCUUAAGAGUGCUUCUUCUGUAGGAUGAGUUCAAUAGUUGCUUGGCACUCUUUUGAAUGAGAAGAUCUAAAUUGCCUUCCUGUCUUUGAUAUACACUUCCUGUGUGGCCACAAAGAAGUCCCACCAUUUCUCUCAUAAUUUUCAUAAAUUAGGAAUUAUAAUCAUUCCAGACAUCUAAGGAUAGUGAGGAUUAAUUCAUGAAGAUUGUUGAGAUAUUCAGACAUUGUAGUGAUGAGUACCACAGAAAAGCCAGAAACAAAAAGCAUCUUAUUUCAUGAAAGACUUGGAUGCCACUCAGUAAACAAGGCUUGGGGCCACACACUGAACAGGGAGGAUAAAAAAAGAAUAUUUGAAUUAUUCUCAUUCCCUGGAUGCUAUCCAUUAUACAGAACACAAAAUGUAUAAUCGUAAUAUGUAAGACUGUACUGUAACAGUGCAGUUGUUGUGACAGACUUCAUCUUCAUAUUUUCUUACUUUUGAGUGCUUUUCUCUGUGACCUUAAUGUUUUAAGUUAGUUUUUAAAUGGUGUUUUUGGGUGUAUGAUGGGCAGUAGACUAACUGCAGAUCCUGGAGAAAUCAUUCCAUCAUCUGACUGUUGAAUACCCAUUAGAACCAAAGUAGCUAUCACUGGUGACUAAGGUAGAUGGUUUUUAACAGGAAUCAAUUCCACCAACUGGAUCACCAGCCAGCAAGGAAAACCUGCUGUAUCCAUAUCACAAGUUUCCCAAAAGAAUGCCUUGUUCUCUAAACAUUGCACUUACUGUUUCACUCUUAGGUCUUUGUUCUUAACAGAGAGUUUAGCUACCUGGGGAAGAUAUUAAUCAAUAUCCAGCGAGUUGACAAUGCGAUAGUAAAUCAUCACUUGCAACCCUAGUCCAUGUGCUCCAUAAAUUCAUUGUAAAGCCAGAAUCCCUGUGAUCUAUGUGUUAGCUAUCUUGAAGCUUAGCUGCUCUCUGAUAAAUUUGUCAGAUUGGUUCAUCCUGCUGUUUAGAAAGUGGCAGAAGAGCCUUCCAUUUCAUUGUGCAGAGUAAUGUGUUGUGCUUUUAGAUCUUUGUGUUUAAAAGCCCUGGUAGAUCUUACUGUUAAGAUUUUGUCCAAUUGUUUUUAGUAACCGUUUUUACUUUUGGCAUUGAACACAUCCCAUGCCAGUGAAUUCCACAAUUUAUUUACAUAUUGUGUGACAAAGCACUUGCUUUUGUUUGCCUUGAACCUAGUACUUGAGAACUUGUUUGGCUGCUUCCUAGAAAUAUGUAAUUAGAAUUUGGGAGCAGUUAUUAACUGUUCACCUUGUUCUUGUUUGUCAUGAUUUUAUAAAUCUCCUCUAUAUUUUCCUACAUAAUUUAUUUUCCAGGGCAAAGAACCCAACUCUUUUUCAUCUUUGUUUGUGCAGAAGUUUUCAAAAAAAUGUUUUGAACAUUUUUGCACUUUUCUCCAUUAUUUUAGGCUGCUUACAUCCUGUUUUGCAGUAGAAAUUCAAGCCUACAUAUAGUAUUCAGUAUGUGAAUCUAUUAUGGAUUUAUUUGAAGGGCGUAAUUAUCAAUUAAGUUUUAUUUUCUAUUUCUGUCUUAAUAUUUCCCAGCCUUAUCCUAAACCUUUACGAUCAACGCUGAGCAUUGAGCUGGUGCUUUCAUAGGCAUAUCCACAAGGAUUCCCUACUAUCUUUCCUAUGUAGUACCAGCUAAUUUGGAUUCUAUUGUGUUGCAUGAAUAUGUGGGGUCAUUUUCCGCACAGACAUUACUGUGCAUUAUUGAUAUUAAUUUUCAUUUUUCCCUUUGUUGUGUAGUUUCUAGGUGAUACCAGGUCUUUUUACAACAUUUCAGUUUUAGCUUUUGCCGUAUUUUUUUGUAUGAAGUGCAAAGUUUGUUGUGUCAGUAGUCCUGGUCUUUCCCCAGUCGUUUAAGAGCACGUUGAACACCACAGGUCUUAAUGCAAACUGUUGUGGGACUCUGAUAGUAGUUGUCUUCCAUUGCAAGAACUGAAUGUUUAUUGCUUCUAUUUGUUGUGCAUCUUUGAGACAGUUAUUAAUCUGUGAGGCUCUUUUCUCCUAUGUCAUGGUAACUCUCUUUUAGAGCCUUUUGUGAGGCUUUUCAAUUGUUUUUGCUUUUCUUUUUUUUUUAGCAAAUACCACUACUUGAAUCUCUUGCAGAUGUGCCUAUUGAGUCCUCAUGAAAACUCUGUAGAUUUGUGAAACAGGACUUCUUUCUGCAAAAAACUUAUGUUGUAUCUUCCCCCUUUUUUUUUUCUGCCCAAAUGUGUGUUAUUUAUUAUGUUUUCUACUGUUUCUAUGCUGUAGUUUAUAGACCUUCUGAACUAUGUGGGUCUUCCUAAAACCCUUUUUUAAGAUAGGCAUUAAAUCACCUUCUAUUCUUUUAGUGCCCACCCCAAUUAUGUGCAAGAGUUACGAGUUAAGUUCUUUCGUGUAUGACUUUCUUUAUAUCUGUUAGACUGGAACCAUUUUUUUCUUUCUGUUCCAUAUUUUCUCAGACUUUUCCUUUCAGAGAAAGGUUUUCACUUGCAAGCCUUUAUAAACUUUUCUGUAAUAAACACAAGUCCAACAAAUUUGAGCUUCUGUUCUGAGAACAUUUUUUUCACCUCAUUGUUGGCCUUACAGAUUCUGUGCAGGGCAUUUGGGAAAGUUGUUAAUGGUAUCUUCAGUAUUUUCUUGGGCCUACGUUAUUCUACAAAAGCUUUAUUAAAAAAUAAUAAUUUUAAAAAACACUCUUUAUUCAUUAAAUAUUACUUCUCCUCUUUGGAUGGUGUCUUUUUACUUCUAAUAAACCCUUUCAUUAGACUAAUUUAAAAAAAAAAAUUCCUAUUAGAGAUGUUCUUUCACAGGUGAUUAUGUAUUUGUUUUGUGAGUUUGAAGUAAUGACUGUAAAUGCUUUACCAUAGGGCAACUUUAAAAGUUCCUGCAUCUAAAGAUGUAUCAUGAUUCUCUCCUGGAGAUUUUUGCCCCCUUGCAAUGUAUUUUCAUCACAAGUGGCAAUCGAAUUAUGACAGUUUACAGCCUUGCAUAGUCAGGUAAAUCAAAAUGGUUUCUGGAUUUCUUUAGUACCUCAGGCUGUAAUUUGUUGUGCCUGCCAGACAAACUGCUGAGAUGUUCCUCAAACUGAUUGAGGCAGACAACUGGGGGUCAGGAUUAUUACAGCUAUUCUAAGGUAAGGCUUUCCUGUUACAUGUAAAAGACCUGAAUCUCGGGUAACACAUCUUUUGACAGUAACAUCUUAAAGCAUUUUUCUCCUAACUUCUUUUUAUUUUCCUUUUCACUACAUUCCUUACUUUAAAUGGAUUUUUUUUUUUCUGAAAUUACAUAUUGCCACAGUGGAUUUUGCUGUUAUUUUUUCAGUCCUAUAGAUAACUGAUUUUACUUGCAUUAUGACCAUAAUUGCAAGAUGGUUCUUUAAUAUGGAAAUUAAAGUAGGUUUAGUGUUCUUAGCACUGAAUUAAACUUGUUCCUUCUUUCAUAGGUUUUCUAACUAGCUGCUGCUUCUCAAAUCGUCCUUUUUACAUUUCAUGGUCACUGUCAACAUUUGGUGUAAUGUUGCAUAGUAAGAUUCUAACCCCUUCUUUUUUCUUUUUGGGCAUGGAAUUAAAAAACAAAGGAAUUUCUUUUUUCCUUUCUGUUUUAUUUAUAUACACUUUCUUUAAUUCAUAGCACCUGCACCUUAGCUGUGCAUUUUACUCAGUCAUUAUUACAAAGUGCAACGCACAAUGUCUGGAGCAUUACAAUCUCUCACAUAUUCUUUUUAAGCCUACUACAGUCGGAACCACUCAUCAUUUGUAAGAUCCCUCCCAUUUAAUGGAAUCUUCAGCUAGACUCCUUCUCCCUUGAAAGGAGAUCAACUGUAAAAAAGAGUCUAACACAAUAUCUGACUUGCUAGCAUCCUAUUCAGUCAGUCACUUACUCAAGCUAAUGUACUGCUGGAAUCAGAAACUGUCAGAUAGUGCUCAAGAAAUGUUUUUACAUUUGUUUUACAUAUUGGUUGACACACUUUCCUGUCUUUUGGCUUGUCAAGAGUCCUGUGUCCCUCAGCUCUGGGGAUACAUCUACCCCAGAGGAUGUACAAGACCUGGAAGCUCUCCCAGUAAUACAUUGUAAAAGAUGUUUUAAAUGGUUUUCAGAGUACAUCAGAAUCACAAUUAUCUGAAGAACAUGGGAAGAACACUGAAUAGAGCUCGAUAAUCGCGUUUACGAGUAACCAAAAUGCCCUGCAUGCCCAUAGAUCUGUGGAAAUAAUUAGUAAUAGAAGCAAUUUACCAUUUAAUUAAUAAAUGACAAGGGGCAAAACCUUGUCUGGGUUCACUGAAUUUGGAUAAUUGAAGCUCCACUGUAUUUUAGAAUCUGAAAUAUUAACCAUUAUUCUGUGUGCUUGAGAUAAUAAUCAUUUAAAAAAUGUGCAAAUAACAGAAUCUAAGUCUAGUUGUACUGUUUCUACAAAGAGUAAGAAUGUCGUAUAAUGCCCUGCAUGCGGGAAAAGUUUGUUGUAUUUGAUUGUUUUUCAAAGUGUCCGGAGUCUGUUUCCCUUAAUGUAUAGAUCUGUGUGAGCUUUGAACCUUUAACUACAUUACAGUGCCAGUGAAGGAUUUCACAGGGCAGUGAAUAACCUCUCACUGAAAGAAGAACGGGUGCAGCAGAACAUCUUGAAACUGGUUCUUAUUUCAGCAGCCCACAAAGCAAGAUUGAUGGAGAUAAAAUUUUGAGAUUGAUGGAGAUGAAUUUUUUUUAAUGAAAUAAGAAUGAGGUAAUAAUUGUGCUCUGUUAGAAAUAUCCAUUCAGAAUGUGCUGUAGCAAGUGGAAGGCUGGGACUGAAGAAAGACAGUCUUGGGCUAUAGUAUAUUCCAAUGGCCUUAACUGUCAUAAACCACUGGUUUGCUACCAAAUACAAGUCAUUGGAAAAGAGUUACAGACUUCUGCUUUCCUCUGCUUUGCCGGUGUCUCUUGCCACCUCACAUGUUUAGUAGCACCUAACUCUGAAGCGUUGUAGCAGUAUGGCUGAAGAACAAGGAUAGAACACCUAAAAGGCAGUAGCUUUAGUAUCAUUCUCAAGCUAUUAAAAUAGCUUUCCUUCUCUCCCUCAUAUUGUUUGUUGUAUUCUAUAUUUUUUAUCUCUCAAGUCUUCUUAAUUCUGGCAUCAUCCAGAGAUAUACUGGACAAGAAAAUAGGUGUGGCCAAAAAUGAGACCUCACAUUUCAAUCUGAAAGUAAGAACAAUGGGUUGAGUCUAAUCUGCAGUUGAGCUAUCUAUUGCUAGUAACCUGUUGCUGGAAACACUCUUUUGUACUCCGAAGACUUACCUUGAUUCAGUUCAGUUUGUACUAUCCUUUUCAAAUAUAUGAUAAUUGUCUGAGAGUAGGCAGUCCUUGCAGAAGCUUAAUCCCAACCCCACCUUGGUGUUUCAUUCACAAGGAAUUGGAGGAAUGUGCAAUUAAACUGCUAUGAAGUCCUAGCUGUGUAGGUUCUGUCUGCUGCUUCCAAAGAGGUAAAAAGAAAAUUGGUCAUUUCAUUCAAGUUUUUAUUGUGCUUGUGUCAGAAGUGCUGCAGAAUUUAGCAUGUACAGAGAUCUCUGCUUUUCAAGGGAUCCAUUAAUGGAAAAACUGGGAGUUUGUUGCAUCAGAAAUGUUGAGUUGGCAGCAUUCAUGGUGGUAAGGGAAGCUUGCUUAUGCAAUGAGCCACAUCCUGCUCUCCUAACUCUGUGAGUAACUCUAUUGAAGUCAAUGGUAAUUACAUCUAUUAAAAUCAGUGGAACUAUUUGCAUCAAUAAGAUAAGUAGGAUUUGGCCCAAAGGUUGUUUAAUAUCAAUGUUUUUAAUCUCUCAUUUUCAUAAAUGCUAUAUUCAUUCAGCAAUAUAAAGUGAGGUGAAUAAAGAACAUUCUGUGCUUUGAAUAGUUUGGCAUCAUAUGCAGACAGGGCAUGUGAUUAAUACCAUAUUGUUGGCUUUGUUCUUUGCUUUUCAGUUGUGGCUGGCAACGUCCUUUUCCUAACUGCUGGUAUCCCCAUGAGCCUAUAUAAUCACUCUCUACCAGUUUUCUACGAUGCCCUUAGAUAUUUUCUGUACUCAAUGCAACAUGUUUCUUUAUUCACUUAUCCUCCCAUCAGAACCUUCAAAUGUUUCUGAUGUACUACUCUGACAUGGUCAGACCUGACAAGGGACAAUGUGUUCACCUGACAAAGUUUCCAACCCAAACACUUUAUCUGUGUUUUCAUGGACACAACCAUCACACUACAAAGUCACGCUUUGUGGUUGUGUCUCUGGGAAAAUCUGCAGAACUGCAGCACACUGCUUCAGUUGGCAGUGUUAGAUAGGAAAUUGUGCUUGCAUUUGAGAUAGUGUACUUUACUUGGCUACCUGAGGCAGAAUUAGAGGUAAAUGAUAAAAAAUCCUGUUCUCUUCAUAGAUGUACAAGGAUAGAUGCUUUGUUGGAAACUGACAGUCUUGAUACCUUCUCCUGAAAAUGGCCAAUUUACGAUGCUAAUACUAAAGUAAAAUUUUGAUUCAUGUAGAAAUGUGACCCAGGAAUCAGAUCACUGAAGUUACCUUCUGGUUUCAGUGUUGUUAAAAUUACAUAAUUAAAGAUACAAGCCUAUUGAAAAGAAAAAAAUCAAAAAAGUUCAGUAGGUAACGUGUAGUCUGUUUCUUUUCCUCCAGUGAACUUCCUGAUAGUAUUUAACUUCUUGGAUGGCCAUUUAUUGUUACCAGGAAACUCCUUUUGUAAGGCAGACCAUAAGGACUGGUGGUUGUCUGUGCUAUUUAGCAUGUGUCAGUGAAGUGAAAGCCAUACCACAGUCAGAAAAGAUUCAUUAAUGUGCCAUGAAAUUCUGCACUGCCUUUUCACAAGAGAUUUCUGUUUUGUUAUGUUCUCACUUAUGUGACAUUCAAGACCAGAUUCUGCUUUCAAAGAGAUUUGAGGUCAUUUGAAUGACAUUAAAGGAUUUUUACUGAUUUAACAGCAGAAUACAUAAUUUAUGACUACAUAUGAAGUCAGAAAUACUGUCAAUAUUAUAAUUGUUACAUAGGUAAAACCUGCAUGCAUUCAUAGUAAUAAUCCAUUUAUUUAUUAGUGUUAAGUUUUCAAAGGAAACUAGAAAAUCCCCCUACAUAUGUAUACUCCAUGGGAGACUCAGUGGAAUUUCCUAUAAUUUGUAAAAAAUCUGACAGGGUUCAGCUCCCUACGUAUACUGCAGGAGUUGAAGGUCCAUAUGUCACUAUGGGUGCAAUCUAGUCUGUUUUCCUGGAUGUCUGAGAUAUCUGCAGGUACUGUGCAGGCAGGGAAGAUAAGGUUUGGAUCAGGAGCUGGGGGAUGUGAUGGAUUCAUCCUUGUGAAGACAGAAUACUCAAGUCUUUGCACAAUGAGGUAUUACAUGAGUUUACAGGUGCUAUAAGUAGUAGCUUCUUAGCAAGUUGUAUCUUGCACUGUUUAUUCAGCUACACUUAUGUUCAUGAUAUACUUCAUAAACAGUUUAUAAAAGCUAAUAUAUGAUCUAUCAAUAUUCUAAGAAUAUUUCUAUAUGGUUAGUACAUAUUAUACAUUUUGUAAGCACAUCACAGAUGGAUCUAUAGGCUACAAACAUCAAUUAGUUUGUUAAACUCAGUCCUUUUUAAAAGUUAGUAAGCUAUUUGUUGAAUCUUUCAUUGAUUACCUUCUAGUCAUGGUAGCAGUAUGAUCACCUGGCCAUGUAAGAAAUUUAAAGGUUCUGAGCUGAGAGUAGAAGAUGGGCAAUUCAAUGCAAAUUCUUCUUAACAAAGAAUUGGACAGAAAUAAUGAAAACUCUUACGAAUUACACUGUUAUUCAAACAUUUCUUCUAAUCAAUUGUUGUAGAGCAUGUCUUUUAGCAAUCAUAUCCAAAAAGAUUCUCACUUGUAUUUACCUGGAGAAAUCUCAAGAAGGCAAAUUAAUUUUAAUCCUGAACAGAUGAAAAUUCAGUAGCACUGAAUUCUAGUUAAAAGCCUGGAAAGAUUGUUAUGCCUGAGAAGACUGUCUUUCAAAAUAAGCAUCUUAUAGACUGGUGAGAAUCCAAAGGGUUCUGAUUCUGUUACAUUUACCCAUUAAUAGUUUUCCCCAUAUUUCUGAAAUUGGAUUUGUGAUCUCAGAAAUAUGAGAACCAAAGGUCAUUAGUGAGAAAUGAAACUGGGUUUUCUUGUGUUCCUGUCCAUUGCUUUGUCAUCCAUAACUAGUUUUAAUUCAAAUUAAAUUCUAGGUAGCUCUAUAUGCAACCAAUUGAAGCCAUCUAGAUUUAGGUUUUCUAGCUAAGAUUUCUAGUUUCUAGGCUUUGAAGCCUGAACAGAAUGACUAUUGCUUCAUUUCUUUCUGUGCUGAAAUUACUCUGACUUUACUGUGACUUUCUCUAGUUGUUGGAUUUUGGAUUUUGUUUGUUUGUGUUGUGUGUUUUUUUUUUUUUAAUACCAAACAAAGGGAAAGAAUGAAACAAUAUUUAAGAAUUUUAUUUCUAUUUUAUUUUAGCUUGUAAAUAACCACAUUUCAGAAUUUAGAAUGAGGGUAGGUAAAAGAACCUUCAUAUUAUUAAUUAAUUAAUUAUUAUUAAUGAUAUAAGUCAGUUGGGUAGGAUCCCUUCAUUCAUGCAUUAGUUUCAGAAGAGUCUGUUAGCCUAGAAAAAUGUAUAUGGUUGAAUGGCACAGAAGAUCAUUAUUUCUUUCCCAGAUUUAUUUCCACUAGAUGGAUGAAGGAGUGGUUAGGCUUUGUUGAAAUGCAGAAUGAAGAUUAGAUUUCAGUAAUGUUGAGGAAGGUGACAUGUCAAGAUAGGAAGAACUGAUCAUGUAUAUCUCAUGGUAACCCAACUAUCUGUCUCCAGCAGUUUUCAUAAACAAAGUACAUGAUAAAGGGUGUGACUUUAAUUCCUCACAGUAUGUUUUUGUGCAUACUGAAUCUUCUACCUGUUAAUUUUACAGGACUUAAAGGCAAGCUUUUUUUGUCUGAGCAAGACCAAGUCAAAUAAAGCUGUACAUGGGGAAAUAUUUCAGUACGUUUUGACGUAACUCCUAAAUUAAUAUCUGAUAACAAAAUUUGAUAGAACUGUUGAGGUUGGAAGGGAUCAUUGCUGAUUAUUUAUUCUAGUUCUCCUGCUCGAAGCAGCAUCACAAAGAUCACGUUGCUCAGUGCUUGUCUAAAUAUGUUCUGAAUAUCUCUGAGGAUGGAGACUCCACAGUCUCUUUGAGCAGCUGUCCAGUAUUUGACUAUCCUAACAGUCAAAAGCUUUUUCUUGUAUUCAAAGCAAAUUUCUUGCAUUUCAAUUUGUGUCUGUCUUCUGUUGUCCCUUCUCUGGGGAGCAUGGAGAAGAGCCUUGCUUUCCGUUUCCCACAUCAGGUUUUUUCUACAUGAGUAUGGUUCCCUUUCAGUCUUUAAGAUAAUUCCUCAAGAUUAUUAUCCACAAAAUCCUUUCUCCGUGUUUUUUCAGUGCUUAUUGCAGGGACAAAGAUACUUUUUCAUCAUUGUGAAAGGAGCAAGUGAUUUGUAACAUUUCUCCAGGUAAGCUGAGAUGAUCAUUUUAAGUUAAUAGUGAUAUAAUUAGUUUCCUAAGGUUUUUGCUAGCAUUCCAUUUGUUGAUGUCUUUCAUUAUUUUUGUGAAGAUGAUCCACGGAGCUAAACAUUUAUUUUUCCUUUUAUUUCAAGAACCUUUUUCUGCUGGUUUCCAAAGAGGAAUAAGGCUGUUUUCUGUGUUCAAAGAAUCACAGAAAUAUUUGAACGUAAUAAAAAACCUAGAAGCUCCUGAAAAGAUACAUCAAACUCAGUGCUAAAGCCCUGUAGCAUUGCCAUUUGGGAAGGCCCUUUAUAAAAUUUUGAAAUUCAUCUGUUGAUAUUUCAGUUUCAAGGGCUUAUUUUGCCCUUAAAUCAUUUGUAGUAUGUGGGGGUUUGAAAAAGAAAGAAGGAACUCUGUGCUGUGCUAAGCCAGGGAGGCAUUCCUGCAGCCUUCAAAUUUUAGAACAACUUUAAAGUUUUUCUUACUGAAUUUUCUAAGUCACAGUUCUACUCUUCUGCAGUGGUUAUGGGUUAAAUUGUUGAGAUAUUGUUGUAAUGGCACAUUUCAGAAAGCAUGCUGCCUACUCUUUUUCCAUCUUUUAUUUGGUGUUGGCUGUAUAGGAGAUCUUCUUUUGUGCAGAGAGAUGAUAAUGGUACCAGUUUGUAGUUGUAUAUCUUCCAUUUCAGUUUUUGUUUGUUAGAAAGCGCUAUUGAUUAGUUGUUGUCGAUGAGCUUUCAGCCUCUUCUAAGAUGAGUCUCUCGUCAGACUUGGUCGGUUUGCAGUAUGCAUGUCAUUCUUUGAGUUUGUCCCACAGGACAAAAUAAUUCAAUUUUAUAGCUUUCCUUACUGUUUGCCCAUUGAGAAAUCAAACAAUUAUUUUCUUUUCUUAAUCUUCAGAUAAGCAUUGAUGGUCUCUGAAAUUCUGAUUCUACUUGUUAGCGCAUGGCUUAUGUGUCUUGCUUCAAGUCUCAACAUGUUUAGGGCAGCUUCAGCUUUGUUGAGAUUAGUCAGGAAACAUGUAUUUACCACUUUGUCUUAGGUGGUUUCAGACAUCAACUAAAGCUUAGUAUGUGCAUAGAUUUUACACUAAAUAAUUGUUCUUAUUAAAUAGAUUGAUGUUUUUAAUGGAGUAAUUAUACUAGAUCAACUUCAUGCAUGGAUAUAGUUAUACUAAUAUAAGAUUGAGUUAUACACCCAUGCAGUUGCAAGAGCAUAAAACAACAUGACUGUUUUCUUGAGGCAAGGAUAGGGCUUAAGUUUUUAAAUUUUAAUUUAUUUGAAAGUAAAGGGUUACUUUAUCUAGUUUGAAUUUUAACAUACCAUUAAAUCUUCUCCAAGAAAUUAUGCAGUAUAUUAGUAAAUCUAAUAGAAGGAGUCCUAAGAAGGGAUAGAUGUAUGUCAGAUAUUAAGAUAGUUCGGCAGACAAUGUGCCAAGAAUUGAGAGGUAUUUAUGUGUUCACAUAACUGUUUCCUUCAAGCAGUAUAAGAUGUAUUAGGUGUUUGUCCCAGCAUAUAUUUUCUCAGUGCAUUGUACAUGGAGGAAGGUAGAUGCAUUUCUUCUACUCUGGUGACAUUCGCUCUCUUUGUCACAAGAAGGAGGGAUUUUGCAUUAAACAGAUCCCUUUUAUGUUCUACCUACAGAAUUUCAAAGAAUGCUGAACAAAUGAGGUAGGAGUAUAUACUUUUGUGCAUCAAAGAAAUGCUUAAGAAGUUUCUUAUAUGUCUAAAGGCACAAUGUAGGGCACAGUUUCUCAAAGAGAAACUAUAUUCUGUAAUCAGUAUGUUGUUACCUCAAUAAUUAAAUAAUACUUUUCACUUUGGAGAUGCUCUUAAACAUGCUAAAACUAUAAAAUAUCCUGCUGAGAAAUAAAAAUGAAUGGACACUGUCAAGAAUAGCAUAAAUGUAGACUCAUUACAGUCAUCACAAGGCUUACUUUUAGCAGUAUGUUAGUAUUUUCUUAAUAGACCCUUCCAGAUUGAGGGAGCCCAGAUAAUACAUAGGUUAACCUAAAAUUCUUUGUUUUCUUUUUCAAAUUGGUAUUUUAUUUCUAGAUACAUAAACUUUUCAAGUACUGUUGAUCUCAUGUUACUCCGUAUGUUGUGCAAUUAAAAAAUUAGCAAGCUAAAAGGAUGAAUGAUUUUUUUUAAAAAAAAAUUAAAAUAGUUGUAUCAGUCAUCAGUGGAUAAGAAGUAACCUUAACAGUGAAGAAAAUAUGAACAGAAUUUUGUUCAAUUGCUGCAGUUGAGUAUACUGAUAAAAAAAUGGGAAUAUGAAGACCAAAAGUAAAUCAAGUGAUGAUGUGUGGAAUAAUUGUCUGCAUAGAAAAUAUAUAUGCGUUAUAUUUAAAUGCCUUCUUGUCUGUAGAUUAUCUUAAAGCCUCUUCAGUUGGACCAUCAAAUAGCAAUUAAGCAUCAAAUUCAUACAGGUCCAGUUUCUCAGGAUGUUGAAGUGAAUGAAAGAGCAACUAUCCAGAAAUCUUUUAUUUCGGAAGUAGUAUUUCUGUUUUAGAUAGCCAACACAAUCUUGGCAUAAAAGGUCUUUAUAAGAGUGUUUUUUUUCUUCUUGAUUGUGAGUUAAAGGAUAUUUUAGAACUUCUCUGUGGUUUUUAAAUAUACCCUAUUCAUUUCUUUGUCCAUUAUAUAGUUAUAGUUAAUUUAUAAUGUUAAUAUAAUAUAAAUAGAUUUUAAUAAAUAGUUAAAUACAUUAGUUAAAUAUAUUUCAACAAUUUUAAUCAUAAAUAUUGAUAAGUAUUAGAAGUUAUACAUUAUAAGUAAUGAUGAUCAUAGUCAAUGUAUAAUAAUAGAGUACAUUAAAUAUAAUGCAAAUUAAAUAAAUAAAAAUAUACAUUUGUCCAGUUAUUGCCUGGAUUUCAGUGUAGACUGUCCUAGACUUGAGCACAGUUUUUCACUCCUGUAAAAAGAUGAGCUAUGUUGUAUGGCCAGUUUUGAUGUUUUGCAGGCUUGCUUAUAGGUGAGGCUACCUUUUUCAACAGCCCUUCAUACCCAGUGGAUUCUUUUUCUCUUUGUAUCUUAUGUCUUUUCCCUGUAUAUCCAAUAGUUCUUGGCUUAGGGGUUCCUAUUCCUUUCAGAGAGCCCAUGAGUGAUGUGUUGAAUCGGCAGUUCAUUUUCACUGCCUUAUGAACAACUGGAAAGCUGAAAUACAGCUUCUGCAAAGAAGGACACACAAACCUCCCAAGUGACUUUGUUGCUUAUAGCUUUGCUGUUAUCUUGUGGAACCUCCUCCUCCAACAUCCCUCUGAGCUGAUAGGAUGUGAAUGAAUAAAGCACUGAAUUAGGACAUUAAGAUCAUCCAGUGGAGACAUGCUAUAAUCUGUUUCCAUAACUGGCCUAAUGCAGGCUUUAUCACAUUACAACAUCACAGAGACCUUAGUAUCACAGCAUAAAGUUUAGUCAGUUUCUUUUGCAGUUCUAAUAGCCUUAGCAGAAGCCCAGCGAGCAAGAAAAAAAGGCUGAGACAGACCUGUCGCUGGCUGUGGUGAUGGGACAGAGCAGCUGGAAGCCUGCCUGGUGACGUGGGGAAGGGCGGCACGCUGCUUCUGCUAACAAGAAGGUGAAUACUCCUGUUUAUCCUCUGGUAAUGUGGGAAAAUGCUGUUUAUCCUUAAGGCCUAGGGACAUGCACGACUAACGCUUGGCCGUAAAAUUACCAGAUUGACCUGGAUCUGGAGUCGCACCUUGUUCGUUCCCUCUAGGGGUUUGUCUCCUGAACUGGCACAGGGUGGCUCAGCCCUGGCCUUUUUAAUGAAUAGCCUGAGGGAAGCUGCUAGUGGUACCAUCAGGGAACCAGGCUGCAGACAGGCUGGCAGUGAUUGCACAGCUGUGCCAAGCAAGCUUACACGGAAAAACUCCGGGCAAAAUAACAGUCAAAAUUGUUGCUGCCUGCGAAGCUACGGCAACAGAGGAAUGUAAGAGAAACUAAUUGUACACAGUCCUCUCUAGGCAGCCCACUGAAUAACAAACCUUCCUACAGCCAGCUAGGCGUAUUCAUGUAAUUGUUUGGUUUUCAGUGUGUAUCUGUCUUCAUUUAUGUUGUGUAUGCUGCAUAUGUUUAUAUUUAUACAAGCCUUACUGUUGAACAGAAGCCUACUGUAAGUAUGCAUAUUUUUGGAUAUACCCGUAUGUGUGUUUAUAUGUCUGUAUAUUUGUGUGCACGCACAUGUGUGCGUGUAUAUAUGUCUGUGUGUUUGAGAAACAGAUGCACUGUAGGCAGAUAAAGCAGAUAAAUAUAGAUUCAAAUAGAAGCAUAAGCCUAUAAAUAUAGGCACUAUAUAGAGUGAAAGCAAGCGGAUCAGCACACUUUCAUUAUUACUUUCGUUCAUAUAAUAAACGAGUAGCUGACAUUGAAAUUACUGAGGGGAUGACACUGUUGGCUUUCAGCAAACGUAGUGAAAAGGUAAGAAAACUUUUCAAUAUGAGUAGUAAUUAAGACGGAAGAUUUACCAUCUUUAUUUAUUCGAGAAUGAAAACUGCAUAAUGUUUCUAAUCUUACCUUAAAAUAAGUAAAUAAACAUAAAAAUUCUGACCCACAGACUGAGAAACUGCUACCACUAGUUUCUGUUUUUACAGUAAACCUUGUGCCCUGUAUUUGUCAACUUUCUGCUUCUGCUGCUGUACAGGUCUUCUUUACUUCAGGUCCUACAGUCUGUCCAGAUGAUUUUGAGCAGCAGAGUAUUGGGAAAACAUUUAAGUUCAUGACAAAAUUAACUUAAGAAACAAUGAGAGUGUGUAUGAAUGUAUAUAUGUAGCAAAUCCUCUGAUGUCAGUUCUUGCAUUUUCCUCUCUGUUGUAGCAAUUUCACUUUGGCCAAUCCACAGCUAUAGCAUGGAUAGUUGGAGUAGGGAAGGUUUUAAUCUUACUAGAUAUAAAGAAAACACUGUAGUUAUUCAGGAUGACCUCGGAAGUCCUUUUUUUUUUUUUUUUUUUUUUUUUUUUUUUUUUUUUUUUUUACUUCUGCAGCAUUUUGAUGAGAGUGAUCAGAUAAAUAAGCAGCCAAGAGUCAGGCAUUCUGGUUCCAACUCUGCUUCUUGCUUUGCGUGGGAUCUUACCCAUAUUGUGUACUUGUUUCACCAUUUGUGAGUAGAAUGGAUAGCAAUUAUGUCACAGGGUUAGGUAACUGAAUAGUAUCCUGUUUUGUUAAGAGGUCUCAUGAUUUCAUUGAAACUACUCAUGGAACAAGGUGUUUAAUAUCUCCUUUUACAACGGAGAGAAAAAAUAAAAAUAUAACAAUACAAAAUGCUAUUGCUGUUUUGCACUGCACCACAAACAAUCCCCUUAUUUUUAAUUUAUCUGAUUGUUUUCAAAAUACACAAUUAGCUGACAUGGAUUGACGAGUUUCUGUAUUCCAAAGAUCACAGUGCAAAGCAGAAGAGAGGUAAAUGCCACCACACACUCAGAUAUGCACACACUCAGACCAACGAUACUGAAUAAGACAAAACAUAACCAAAGACAGAAAAUUAAAAUGUCAAGUGGUGGAAGGCUUGGUGUCUUAUUCAUGUAACUCUGUUUUCUUAAAAUAUCUACUCUGAGUUAAUUUUCCUUUUUGGCUAAAAAGAGGCAGCUCGGAGCAUCUAGGUUCUGGUCCUGAACGUUUUACAUGGGUUGCUGCAAGACACUUCUUACUCAUCUUUCUUAUUUUUAUACCUGAAAAUAAGCUCUUCCAGGUAUAUAUCAACAUUUAGAUAUCUGGGUUAGACCCCAAUUUACAAUCACUUAGGUGCUUUUAAAAAGAAUUUCAUUUUUGUGUCAUGUGAAGCACCCUGUGAAGCUGCUAAUUUUUUGCUCUGUCUGUUGAGAUACACAAAUUAAACACAAAGAGGAGUCAGAAAUUUUAUGGAUAUGAAUAGUGAGAACCACUGGGGAAAUCUGUAUCUGCCUCAGGAGACAUUGGCACUUUUGCAUUUCCUUGAUCUAGUAGAAGAGUUUUAUAAAGCAUGCUGGCUUUGUCCAGGUGCUGUUGCUAGUGGGGCCCAUGGCAGAAGCAGUCACAGAUCCUCAGACAUGCAACCUGCUGUUCGUCUGAACAUCCCCGAGUUACUCAAACUCCCCUAGGAUCAAAUCUGUAGAGUAGGGGUGAUAUUUCAGAGGUUCAAGGUGAGCUAAUAUAAUGAAGUGCAGUCCUUUAAAAAUUAACAAGCACUGCCUAUCCCAUAAACUCUUUUGAGGCCCUCAUAGUCUAUUCCUACCCUAGUACAUAUUACGGUAUCCAGAAUAGCUUCAAAAUAGCAUUGUGCUUCUAGGGACCAAAACAAAUAUUAAGGUUUUUUGGAUAAGGAUUACAUUGAGUCCUCAGUUACUAUAGAAAUAUGGUCUUUUCAAAAUCUUGUAGAAAAUAUCUGCUAUGAAAGUUAUGCUAUCCCAGAGCAUCAUAUAUAUCCCCAUAUCACAGGGAUUUCUGUGUUUUGUCUUCUGUAUUCCUCCUCCCUUCUCUCCCUAAUUCUAGUACACUAAAUUGAUAAUUCCUCACCAGAUUAAAUUAUAAUGCUAUAUUGUAUUUGCAAUAGAAAAAAUAACUUAGAUAUAUCUAUGUAUUUAUAUAUAUAUAUAUUAUGUAGAAAUAAAUUUCUACAUGAUCUAAGUCCUUGUAUGUGUUGAUUUCAGUCUGGAUCAGAUAAUUGCAGCUGAGUUACAGAGUCUUGAAAAAUGAGGUUUAUUAUGGAAACACUGACAUAGCCUCACUUAUUUUGGUUUUGGCAGACACGACAAUAAUAUCCAGAGACCUUUUUUUCUGACUCUACUCUUUGCUAGUCUCCUUGGAUUUUAUUUUCUGAGUCUUUGCCAAUUUUACUGCCAUUCAUUUUGACUAAAACCAUCUCAGAAAUAUGUCAGUCUGCAGGAACCAUUAGGAAAUAUAUCAUUACACAUGUUCGGUUGGCUGGUUCGGAGGUGGGGAAAAUUAAGUAACUUCUGCUGUGUCAUGGUCAUUUCCAAAAUGGUGGAAUCCAAGAGGUUCAUGUGAAACAGCAGCCUAUAGGGAAAAAAAAAAUCUAAGUAUAUUGCCAGGAAAAACCUAUUUCUGUCACUGCAAGGAAAUACAUGUUGCAAGAGGCCUGCAAAAGGUUUAUUGAUUAUUUAACUAGCAAGAAGAGUUAGCAGGCAUCUCUAAUGUGUUUAUUUUUUGUCUCUAUCAUUUUAAUAUUUUUUCAUUAUUCAUUUUGCCAUUAAAAGUCCAUGGCAACCUAGCACUAUGCUUUUCUCCUCCUACAGUCAUUAAAAAGACAGAAACUGCAUUGAAAAACAUUAAGCUUACAUGCAAAAUCAUGAAAUUCUACAGUGAUAACUUGUUUUUAACCUUAGUGUCUCCCUUAUGAUAGUCUUUACUGAGAAGUCACGUUGCUUUUUAGUAAAUGCACAGCUACAGAUUCUUUGAUACAUUCAAAUAGUAUCUACAAUUAAUGCUUUUCUCUAAUUAAAAACUAACAACAAAAAAUCCCAAGCUCCAAAUCACUUACCUGUUGUAGUGGAAAAUAAGGCUACUUUGCAGUUAUGUUGUGUUGUGGGGAGAACAUGCAUCAGAAAUGAGAAGCAGUAAUAAUCCGUGAUGCAAAAAAGAGCAGUUAGUUAGUACUACUGACAUUUAUUUUAGUAUUUUUUGGCCUAAGUAUUUGUCCAUGAUGCCCUUGGUAAAAUAUUUGGUAGAAUUUCAUAAUUGAGUGGAUUUUUAAAGCUUUAUAAAACUUUUUUUCUUGAAACAUGAAACUAGCCAGUAUUCACUUUUUAAGCUUUGAGUCUAUUCGUAUUUUUCAUUUUUAAUGCUUUUUACAAUAGGUUGUUUAAUCCAUUCUUUAUUUCCAAUUCUUUUAAGUCUCUAGAUGUUCUUUUUUUUUUUUUUCUCGUGUUCCCUAUGUGCAAAACAGAUGAACUUUUGUUUAUUCAAGAUCUCAUGAAAUUGCAUAUGAGGUAAACAUUAAAAAUAGAAAAUUUGCACAGCAGUUUCCAACAUUUUUUGAAUGAUUGAAGGCAAGCUGAUUUUAAUGGAAACUUUCGUCAGCUCCAGUUGACAGCCUCUCAAGUACAACAUUCAUGAGAACUGAACUCCAUAAUUUGUGUCCCCAUAUUUUUAGGGGAUUUGGAUCUCUCUUUGAACCUUUUCUGUACAGUACUAUUGCUUAUAACCUAAUGUUCAAACUAGUGUUUAAAUACAUAUCUCCUCUAGACGCUGGUAAAGCAAGAAUAGCACUAUUGGAACUGCACUUAUUGCCAUGAGAGCUUGCUUUGCCCUUCCUGAAAGUUCUCUAUUUUCUCUAUGAAUCUCUCUUACAUAUUAUUUCAUGAGGUUAAUACAUUUUAUGUUUCUGCUCUGUAUCCAAUAGGAUGACAUAUACCAGUCUGUGGACUAACUUAAAGUGUAUUAACUGGUGCUGAAAUUUUCCUCCUCACAUGCAUUCUAUUAAAGAACAAAUGGAUUGUUUUGCUUCUUUGUUUUUUUUUUUUUUCCUUGACAUUUGUUCUAUGGGUCAGUCUUCCUGAGACACUCACCUUGUAUAGCAUCACUUCUAGUUUGAUUGUUAAGCAUAGCUUCUUUGGACACCAUUACGGUCAGGUAGAGGUAGAGUUUGUGGUAGACAUCUGUGUCUCAUUUCUUUAUCCCAGUAUUCUCCUUGUCAGCAGAGGAGAAAGUACUUGGACACACUUUUUAUUGGCCUGACCGAUCACUAAACUGUGCUAAGUUGAGAUUGCAUGCCCAGCUCUCUCCAUCCUGUUCUUUUUUCUCCAAGAGUCAGUUUCAUUUUAAGAAAAAUCAGACUAGUUAGGCCACACAUGAUUUUGUGUAUAAAACAUUUCUGGGGUUAUUUCAAUGCAGUUUCAGUUUUGUGCAAACAAAAUGAAUAAGCAUGUGUAAGACAGUGAAUUACUGUUUUCCUUUUCUCUCUAACCUAAAAUCCCAACAGAGAUUCUGAAUGCAUGCCGGCUGGUAGUAUCAUAGUUAAUGUUAGUAGAUGUGAAUCUGAAAAAAAAAAUCAAUAGAACAAUCAGAUGAUGUAUAGCUGUUGAUUUUCCCUAAAAUAGGAUCUACCUUUUUUAUAAUGACAUGGAUUUUCUGUUUGCUUGACCUGUGAAGAAAAGCAUGCUGUCCGUUAUAUGGAGCUGGAAGAUAACAACAUGUGAAAUGCAUGUCUUCCAGCAAAGAUAAUGUAAACGAAGCCUUAAGGGCACUGGUAGUUGCAGGGUCUGUACAUUUUGGUUUUGGAUGUUUGGUUUUUGUAGUCUGCAUACUCCUUUUUUUUUCUUUUUUUCUGACACUAGGCUAGGUGUCUGCUGUGGCUUGCAAUAAACAUGCUACUUUUAGUCUUCCAAUUUGUCAGUAUGCUGUAGAGAUUAUAUUAACACCUUCUACAUUCACAUUGACAUUAUUAGCAAAAUCCCCAGCCCAGUAUGUGAAUAAAUAAAUUGUGCCCAGUGGUUCAGACUUGUGCCAGCCUGGUGCUGACAGAGUGCUUUGUAGGGCCCAGAGUCAAGUAGGAGCAGACAGAAUAUGGAAACCCAUGUCCUGUGUUGGAGGCAAAGGAUCAGCAGUGUGAUAGGCAUUUCAGCUGUGGGAAUGAGAGAAUUUCAGCCUAUUGUAUCAAUAUGCUUCUCUUUAUAGAGCUAGGGUCAUGCCAGUGUCUAAGUCAAGGACUCCAGGUGUGUGUUUGUCUGCAAGAGAAAAUAACUGGAGUAUUUUGGCAGUCCUAAUGAAUGAGCAAAGCAGACUGUGUUUCUUCUUUCUGUUCUCCAGUUCCCAUAUUACCAUGUUACCCUAACAAGUCAAAAAAUGCCAGGCUUUAUAAUCCAUAGUGUGUUUCGUGCCUUUGACUUAAGUACUCCUACCGGCCAGCAUAUCCUGAAGGAGUGAGUCAAAAGUUGAUCUAAAGUAGUGCUAAAGGAAGAUUUUUCUUAACAAUAACCCUCAUGGCUGAAUAUGAGUUUCCUUUGCAUCCUUAUACAGGAGUGCCACAAUGACAUCAGUAAGAUUUUCCUGGAGUUUAUAAUGAGAUUUAGGUGAUUGGUGUGGGAGGGAAGCUCCACUUCUGGUGGUGGGACUGGUCACUGAGCAUCUGCUUUGCCAAAGGCCUGGCAAGGGGCACAAAAAUAUAGAGGAAGGAAAAUGUGCUUGGUUCAGAAAAGCAGAAUUCUGAUCCUGGAUGCUUUGCUCCCCUCUUUCCACAGGGCCACUGUUCACACAUACCUUACAUCCCCACCUCAAUCCUCUGCCUUCCUCCGUGUGCAGCUCUCACCGAGUUCUGAAUGCAUUGUACGGAGCAGUGUAAAUCAAUAGUAACUGCUGACCGCCCACUCGGGGCUCCGUUACGCAAUAUCGCAUACCGUGUACACUGAGACAAAAAGGGAAAAAGCUCACACAGGCUUUACAUUCAAAAGCUCUUGCAUAAUUUUGCUUUUCUACAGCCAAAAAAAAAAAAAAAAAAGGGAAAUAACAGAUGGGGAGCCUUGCAGUUUUUUCCCUUUUCUCAGGCUUUACCGAAGGGAGUUCUUUUAACAUCCAUGGUCAUUUUCAGUGCCCUGUGCUGCAGAUAAGCAAGCCGUACUUGCUCAUGCUUUUAGAAUAAGGCUUUCUUCCAUCUUCCAUGAUGUGGUGCACUUCUCAGGUAAUAUGAGAAAAACUAUUACAAAACGUUUAAGGCUGAAUUGGUUAUUUGUUUAGCCUCAACAGAAAAGGGAAAAGAAAAACCUCCCUUGAACUGCUCGCUGCGUGUUACAAAGCGAAAGAGGGACAAGAAGUAUGGGAGGUUGGACUGAAUUCUCUUGUGUCUUUUAAUAUCUUCUUUUUUCCUUUCCGAAAAGCAAAAUACUCUCGCUGCAGUAUUUAUGUAAAAAGCUAGUUAUGUAACUCUUGCCUGCCUUUCGCUUUUGCUACCUCUCCGGACUGUAAGGCUCCACUGUUUUUCCUCCCGACAGAUUGCAUUAAGACCUGCAAAUACUGAUGAAAGGAAGGAGAGACCGGGUGCUUGCAGCACAGGCUUUAAUUUCGAGACUUUUUAAGCGCUUCAGACUGGAAGACAAUGGAUCUAUUUAUGAUCUUUUUUUGGCUGCUGGAAUUCCUAUGAGUACUUUCCUGUCACAGUGUGCUCUGGAACAUCCGUGGUUUUUGCACUGUGCUGUGCUCUCCCCCCUUCCUUCUCCUUUUUCCCCUCCAAACUUCAGAUAUAUACAGUGGAAGUGUCAGGUCACUCUUCACUUAACAGCAGCAAGUGCAGAAGCAGAGUAAAAUCUUAAGUUGCUCUAAACUUAUUCAUUUUUGUUGCAUUUAAGUGAUUGAUAGCCAUAGAAGUCAAGAAAUUCCUUUAAUAAGGAUGAGUUGGGAUACUUCUAAUUGAUUUCAGUCAAAUGUAAAUGUAAAAUAUAUAACCUUGCUAACUGGAGGAUUUAAAAAAAGAGAAGACAAGGGACUGUACUAAGAACAUUUCAUACUUUUUGAUAACAUUUCAGGAGGAAAAUGUGCCUAUAUUGCAACCGAUUUAUUCAUAGCUUUAUCCUCUGAGGAUCUGACCUGUUUGUGGUUGCGAGUAUUGUGUCAGGUUUGUUUUCUUUUGCCUUUCACAAAUAGUUCUUGUCUGUGUACACAUUCUUGGACAGAUUCUUCCCUAGUGUAAUGCUGCUAAUUUUGUUGAUAUUACAUCAGGGUGUAUAAGGUCAAUUAACAAGUUAUAGGGCUUGAUUCGUGGUUAUUUUAAAGUGUUGUCCUGGUGAUGUAAAGGACUUGUAAAGCGGGCAUAAUUUAUACUUAUGCUCCGUUCAGGAAUAAGAGAUAAUAGUUAAAGUUGACAUCUUUUGUUAAUGAUUCCUGAGACAAAUUUGGAGUGAAUAAAGGCUUUCUGAAAACAGGAAGUAGAACAUUUUAAGCUGUAUAAGUAUCUUAUGUAAGUAUGACGUAUUAUAAGUAUAUUGUAUAGGCUGCAUUGCAGAAAAUUGCUGGGCAGUACAUAGAUCUUCAAAGGGGUAUGAGAACAGCUGAAUUCCCUGCCUGGUUCUGAAACCAACUCCUUCUUUAGCUCUGGGCAACUAAAACUUCUGCUGCCAUUUAUGUCUCAGUACAAAUCUCAUAGGGAUUUUUGUAGAUACUUGCCUUAUUGUGCCCUACGGAAGUUUUCUCAAGUUAUUUUACUGAUUUUUAUAAGGUGAAUUUAAGUGCAAAGGCAGAAGGCAUUGAAAUAAUUUGGAGAGUUUAUAAAAGCCAUUUACACAUCUGGUCAGUGUUGCCAGAAAGACCAAAAUGCCGGCACUAACUUAAAUAAAUGCUAGCUCUUGAUCAGAAGAAGACUGUAAUUGUCAGAGGAUGAAUUCUGCCCUAUAGGAAUAUCAGGGCCUUGAAAACUCUGUAGUUGUAAAGAUGGAGCUGAAUCAACUUAUCAGUUGCAUUUUAUGACGUGGCUGUAUAAAGUGGAGGUGACUAACCUGCCUUAUCUUGAUAGUCCUUUAUCCUAGUGUCCCUAAUAGCUGUCAACCCUUUAUAAAGUGCUUAGGAGAUGUGUAUGUAUGUGAGGAGUAUGAUUUCAAUGUAUAGCUUAGCCAAAAGAAUGGUCAUAUGUCUGAAAGAAAAUUGCUUUCUGCCAUUCUUCUCAGAAGUUUAUUCUGCAAGUUAUUUGUCUGCCCUAAUUACAACGGAAGACUUACUUGAAACAGUUUACAAAAUGUGGUAACUUUUAGCGGUAGAUAAGUUGAAUUCACUCUUAAAGGCAUUUUCAUGCUUUUCAAUUAUCAAGAAAUUUCUUUUUAUACCACUAGGUUCUUUCUGACAUCCCAAGUCUCAACUUCCCAGCUUCAAUUUGUAGGCUUACAUGGACUUGUAACAAGUCACUAUCCUUUCUGGAUGAUCCAACGCAUACUUAAUUAUUUUCUGAGUAAUUAUUAAUUAAACAAGAUGAAAAACUAUGGCAAUAGCUGCUGCUAAAGGUUUAGUUAUUUGUGUGCAAUUGAAUAGCAACCAGAAUUGUGGAACUCUGUUUUCUGCAAAAUACAAAAGGUGAUUUUUGUUUGCAGGGGAGGGGGUGGCUUGGCUUGUCCGGACUUUAGACAUUCAACCUGUGUAGAAAAACUCUACUUCCAUAAAUUCAUAGACAAAAUAGGCAAAAGUGAUGGUUCAAGCAGCUUCUGGAAUGGGAUACUAAUAUUUAGUUCCACCAACAGGAUUUCACUUCAUAACUUAAGAAAACUCUAGUAUUUAAACGCAAGCUGUUUGAGUCCUACCACUAUAUAAAUCUGUGCCUUAUUAAAAUCGAGGUUGUUAUUUUAGAGAAAAGCUUAAAAAUGAACACAAUGGGGUUAAAAAUGGCAACAACAAUAACAGGAGCCCUACAUUAAAUUUAUUUUGAAUUUUCAUUAUUUUUAUUCCCUGACACGUGCCUGGUGUUGAGUAUAUUGGAAAAAAAAAAAAAAAGCUAAUAUGAUUUUGCUGUAUCCAGCAAUGUCCUGACUUAACUACAACCUCUUUUUUUCUUUUAUCUAUUAAUUUUUUUUAACCACUUCUUGUUCUUUAAAAUAGAUUUUUUUUUUUUUUUUUGCAAGUCUGGCACUUCAGUUUAGAUUUCUUACAGUUUUGUGUCCUACACUGUCAGUAAUUCCCUGCCAAUACAAUCAAUACCAUCAUGUUUUGUUUUGUUUUGCUUUGUUUUGUUUUACUUAUAGGAAUCCCUCAGAGAUGAUGCCAGAAAGAAUAUUUGCAGGGUGGUUGUAACAAAUGUAUCAGAUUAUCUUCUCCCAUCACAAAACCCGUGUUCGCUUGUUUUGCUGUUAAAUCUGGUUCAGACAGGUGGGUCCUGGCACCUGCAGGGAGAAAUCAUUGAAGUCCAGCGAUAUGGAGAGGUUCUCAGCAUGGGCACAGUGCCUAUGGCAGAGGCUCCUUGGAGAAGUGGAUACAUGGAUGCCCCUUGCUUUUUCCUCUGGACAGCUGUUAAUAUUUUAAAUUAGAUGUUAGGAGUAAAUUCUUUACUCAGAGGGUGGUGAGGCUCUUGCACAGACUGCCAGUAGAAUCUGUAGAUGCCCCAUCCGUGGAGGUGUUCCAGGCCAGGUUGGAUGGGGCCCCAGGCAGCCUGAUCAAAUUGAAUGUGUCCCUGCCCACAGUAGAGAAUUGGAACUAGAUGAUCUUUAAUGUCCCUUCCAACCCAAACCAUACUGUGAUUCUAUGAUUGUAUGAUUUUCCUUGUUAUGAAACAUGAUGUGUUCUGUUAGAACUUAAUGCCUGUUCAGAGCUAGCGCAGCGAGAGAAUGGACCAUGCAGUGUAUCAUACUCACUUUGGAAAAGGUGUAAAUCCUCAUUUCAUCCUCUGCUUUCAUCCCUAGCAAUUAUUUUCUGCUAGUGUCAAGGGUGGGGAACAUGGCAAAACUCUUUUCACCUUACAGAUUAGGAGGCCUUAAAAGCACUCUUUAAGGCAUGACUCUCAGCCCUUUAGAGAAGUUCUUGUAGGGACAAGAUACACCAAGAGUUCAUCAGCAUAGGGAGGACGGAGAGGAUUUUUUGCCCCGAAGGUUUUGCUCAUUUAUUUCUGAUUUAUUUGGGUUAGAUGGACUCACUGCAUUAACUGUAUUGUGAACAAACUCAGUAAUUUUUGCAAUCAAAACAAAUAAAAAUGUCUUUCAUGGAAAGAUUUACUGGAACAAUGUUAACAGAAAAUGGUGCAAGAAACAUCUCUGCCCAUAGAUUUGACUGCAUAUAUUUCUUAAAUUAGUUUUUUGCUUAAAGGCUCUAUUCAAUAUCCUGAUAGCCUUGUGAUCCUUACAUCACUUUAGAAAAAGAUCACAAAGUUUCAACCUCGUCUUCUGGGAUAUGUCUUUUUGGGUUAUAAAGAGUCAAUGUCAGCUGAGGCUGGAAAUGGUCUGUUCUGCUUGGAGAAAGGGAGGGGCAGGUCCAUGAUGGUUGUUCGGCCGUUUCUGAGAAUCAGCUGCUUUUUCUUUAUACUGCAAAGAUUAAACAAAGAAUGUUAAACAUUUCCCAAUUUAGCAUUUAUAAUGGAAAGCGGCUGUAGGGCCACAGCUCACUGCUGCAAGGGCAGGCGUUCAUAUUUGGAAUUGCUGAAAAAGGCUUUUAUUUUCUUUGAAGACCUCUCCGUUCCUCUUCCAGUCUGGCUGCAGCACUUUGCAGUCAGGUGGAGGCAGCUUUAAAUUUGUUACUUUCAUUUAAGUAGGAGCUAAUUUACUUUUGGAAAUGGAAGUUAGAGCAGCCCAGCUAUCUGCAAAGUGGAGGAGGAGGCACUGUAUUCCUUUAACUUUUCAAAUGCCUGUGAUUUUAUUUCACACCAAUGGGCAAGCAAAAAUUGCCUUCCUUAGCUCCUGUUAGUAAUAAUACGUAGUAUUAAUGAUCUAACGUCUUAGCUUCAACUCUUCAUCUCAGUUUCUAAAAAAAAUAUCUGUUGGCUUUGUUCAGUCAUCUUUAUAGUUGCAUCCAGCUCGGAACCUUUGAAGUAAAACGUUGGAGUUUAAUUCUUGAGUGCAGCAGAACGACAUUUUUGACCUACUGACAGCACAGCUUUUUCCAUAGCAUUUCUGUAGUGAUUACAUGGGGAACUAUGACUUUCUGUUCCUCAUAGCAAAGGGAAAGAACUCCCAAGGAUGGCUGCAAAUGGAAAACAAACAAAACCAAAAAAAGGGGGGGUGUGGAUUUUGACAUGUUAGUGUUAAAUAUGGUUUUCUUGUUUUAGUUAUUUGUCAUGCUUUCUUCUUUUGUCUUACUUGAAGGAUCCAUAGUCGAAACAAAUACCUACCUCAAGCUUUCUUAGUUGAAGCUGAGGGGAAUUCCAGCUUUAUGCAAAUAACAUGUUUUACUCUCUGCUGGAGUGAAAUAAGUGUUAAUAAAGUUAGUUUUUAACAAAGCAGCUAAAAAUGUCCUUCGUCUCUCAGUUGGCCAGAAUUCAGAAAUUCAGCAGUUUUCUGUCAUCACAUGUGGACAAAAUCUAAACAUCUCAUAUAAUUAAAACAUUUUCAGAAAAAAUAUUUCUGGUUUCUUUUAUAAAUUGUAAGCUCUAUAAAAAUCAGAUAUCCAUUUUCUUCCUUCUCUAGCCUGUCUGCAAGUAGGUUUUGCCUAAACAAAAUAGCUUCGCACUCAGAGCUCGCAAACAUUUGUGUAUUACUUAGGUAUUGACAUGAGUAAUUUUAUUUCCCUCUUAUGAUAGCUCAAAUAGAUUUGUAAAUAUUUGCCCAUCUUUUUGUUUCUUAGGGGAAGCUUUUCAAAAAAUCUUGGGGUUUUUUGGUUGUUUUUUUUUUUUUUUAUUUGGAAUAAGUCAAAGUGAUUGCAUUUCUUAUAGAAUGUUGGAAUUUUUGGACUGUGCAUCUAUUUAAGCACGUGGAGAAAGACAAGACAGAGAUCAUGUAAGUCAUGAAACUAAGGGUGAAUAAUCCAUACUUUCUUCUUUCACCAUUUUUACAAUUUAUAUCCAGAUGCAAGUAAUAAACUCAAGGAGAAAAAAAAGAAAAUCUAGUUUGCAUGUUUUUUUAAAGUGAUUAAUGAAAAGCAAAGUUCAAAUGAGGCCACAAAUCCUGGUGGUGCACAAUGGGUUGAUUUAUUUUGUAAAUAGACCAUGGAUAAUUAACCAUAAAACAAAACUUUUCUUUUUUUCUUUUUUUUUUCUUUUUUUUUUUUUUUUGAAACUUGCAUAAUGACACUGGUUUCUUUUAGUUGCUGUGAGUCGCACAGAGGGAUAACGACUUAUUCACAACUGGUUGCGACUGGUUACAGCCAAGAAAGGAAAAAUCCCAGAGCUGUUAGCGGAAAAAAGGCCGUCAAAACCCUGCUACACUUGUAGUUUUACAGUGACGCAUUUGCUAACGGCCACAGAGUGGGUGAAGUUGCCCUUGUCUGAUAACAUAAAGAGAAGAUAGACGUGCUCUGAUGGUACUUGCUGUGUUACCCCGUGCUUUGGCUUAAAACGCAUUAGCAAAAGACAGCCCUUGCAGCUGGCCUUGUGGUCAGCAAUUUUAUAUUCACAUUUAAAUAGCAUUACUUUAUGCUCUGUUGUAAGCUUCUCUGAUGGCUAUAUCCUUACUUCUCUGGCAGUGAGGAAGAGUCCUCCAGAUAGUCAAAAUAGUCUGUCUUGCUGCCAAAUCCCCUUGUGAGCCAGACAGUGAUGGUAGUUUCUCAGAUAUGUGAUAUGAGAAAACUGCCUGCCUAAUGUCCCCCAGAUUUGCAUCUUCACAUUCUGCAGUCACUGGUGGAAAAGAUCUCUCAUGCCCAAAAGGAGAAGAUCCAAUUUGUUAGGUGAGCACGUUCACUACUAAUCAGAACUACCAACUAGGGUUAUAGCACUGGAGAAUGUAAAUAAACUGGAGCAUGAGAUGUUCAGAUGACAAUAUGGCAGCUUUUGUGGUGGUUUCUAUUAGUUGUCCAUUUUCAAGUUUACUUGUCUCUUGCCAGCUUAUUAGAACGAUGAGAGAAUUUCUAUAGGUAAUUUCUAUAGGUAGUUGUGAGAGAUUGGAUCCACUACAAAGGCUCUAUCUAUAUGAACACCUUAGGCUGCUUUUACACACCACUAUGUGCCUUAAAAUUCUUUUAUCCAUGUAAAUAAUAUUUGAGGUUUGCAUGGAGCUGAAAUUUGAUUGUGCAGUGUUUGUGUGAAAGUUGGCUAUGUAUGCAACAGGGCUGCAUUUCACAGGCAUUUUAAGGUACUUGCAAAAAGCCCCCUUCAUUCACAGCUGUAGCUUGUCUAGGCGGAAGUAGUGAGUAAAAAUGCUUAAAAUCAGCACAGUUUUGCAUGUGUUGAAUCAGUUUAUCAUAAGAGUGUUACAUGCCAGUGUUUACAAGACUUCUGUGUCGUAAGUUGAUCUGUAGGCAUUAGUUUUUUUCUGCAAAUAAGGUUUUUUUUGUUUUUUGUUUUUUGUUUCCCCCCCAAUAAGGCACCGUAGAAACUGAGGAGAAGAGGAGCAGAUCAUUAGUGUUAGGCUAUCAUGUGCUAUCUCCAUGAGAUUAAUGUAGAUAACAGGGUAAAAGGGUUGCACAUGGAAUUUUUAGUCUAGAUCCCAGAUGCAAGACAUGACCUUAGAUUGGCUCUUUGAACUUCUAACAAGAGAACUCCUGAGUUCCUAUUACACUGCUAAUACCAGUAACUACAACACAUGGGCUGCCACUUCUAAUCCUUUUUUAGGAUAAAGGGUCAGUUUGAAGUAGCACUUGAUUUGAGCAAGAGACUCCUGUUUGUGGGUGGGAGUCACGCUGCAGGCAACAUGAGCAUUCUAUUUUCAAGUGGCAUUGCAGUGAAGACAAGACCCCAAAAGUCAGUUAACUCUACUGUCUUCGGCUUCUGCUCAAGUCCUUCUGGAAAGGAAGCCAGUGAGAAAACACUGUGAUAAUGUUAAGUGGAUGUGAUUGUUCUGUGGGCUUUCCCUUGAAACUGUUAUUUCUCAGACUUUUACUUAUGGAAAUUGUAGUGACGUAUGGAAUCUGCUCCAUACUGUUUAUAAGCUUGAACUUGGUUUUAUUGACUAACUGAAUGCUUUUAUUUUGUGACAGUCUUUUUCUGUGCUCUACAUCAUGCCAAGGAGACAGAGGAGUGGUGUUGGCAUAUCACUGUAUGAAUAGGUCUGUCAUUAAAUAUUUGAAAUAGAAACAUCUGAAAUAGAUCUUGCCUGAGAAGAACAAUGGGGUAACUAGCGAAAGCCAGUUUUCUCCAAAUUCACUUUUGGGGGCUGGAGUAUUUUGCAAAUGAAUAAAAAAAGAACAAAGAGAUCAGGUAUUAGCACAGGGUCUUAAAAACAUUGAAGCCUUGGAGGCUUGAAGUGAGACACAGAGGAAGCUGAGAGAUGAGAGGGAAAAGGUAUGAUUAGCAGAGGGAGCUUUUUUUUCUUCUUUUUUUCCUUUUUUCCUUUGUCCCUGUAUCUUUAAGAUCAACUAAGGAGAAGAGAAGCUGAUAAUAGGGCAGUGAGAGUCCCUCAUUUUGGAAAGCCAAUUUGUAUAGGAAAUGGAGGGUUUUUUUUACCAUUAUGUUGACCUAAGCCCGAGGACCAUCCACUGCUAGUGCUGAAGAUGCUGAAGGAUGAAGUUGUGUUUGGGUAUUUUGUAUUUUCUCUGGUCUCUAAAUUUUGUGGUUUUGUUUUCUGGAGGUGAAGGGUGAGCGAGUCAGUCAUAUUCUUCAGGUGGGGCAGGAAGGCUCUGAAACCUUGCUGCUAGGAAGGGGUUACAGGCAUUUGAGCAUGCCUUUGUAUUUCUCUCAUAUGGUAAUGACCUGUUUGAAAAGAUCUACAAUCCAAAUCCUCUAUUUUGCCCCCUACUUUCUUCCCAUGUACUGCUCCCCAGAUCUAAUGCUUGAAAUAAAAAAACACGGGAGAGGUAAUCCUAACAGUUCUCCCUGAGACUUUCUCCAUCUUUGCUUUGCAAAGUGUGACAUCAGUAUUCCAGGAGGUAGGUUCAAGUUCAAGUCAGAAAGUGCUUUCAUGGGGGACUAAGCAGUGCAGUUGUUUGAAUUCUUGGAUUUCUGCUCCAAGCACUGCAUUUAGCAAUAAACUUUAUAACAAACAAAUUAUUUGGUUCUUAAUGAGAUUCUGUUCAUGUCACAAAAAGCUCUUCACCCAGUGGCACAGGGGGGGCAACCACUUCACAAAAGCAUCUCAACACUGAAAAAUAUCCAGGGGUUGCCAAUCACUGAGAAUGAUGUCAUCAUUUCAGGCCAAGCUGUAGUUCAGCUCUCUUCUGGUCUUCCUAAGGGACUACUUUAUAUGUUGGGGCUCUUGCUGCUGCCUGGUCGAGGGGAAAUCCCUCAAUUACUCCUGCUUUAGGCCAAGAUUUAUCAUGCAGCUUCAAUCAAGUUUGCAUGGCUUUGUGGUAUUUUGCUUUUUAUUCAUUUGGAAAUGCAUGAGCAGUGAGCAAGAAUUGUAGUGGCUGAAGAAAAAGGAAUUCCUGGAUACUAAAGAUCAUCUUAAUUCCAGUUAUUCUUGUAUUUCUCUAUACACCAAAUUUAAAGAUGCAAGAACAGACCAGAAACAACUAACAUUAUCCUUUCUUCUCACUCACAAUUCUUCUGUAGGACUCUCUGUGACUAUAUGUGCUUCUUAAUCCUGGCCAGAACUGGUUUUGAUAUUUUCCCAAAUGGCAGUAGUAAUUAAAGGUACUUGACCCAACAAGAUUUGUGCUAGCAGUUACAUAAAUGAUUGUCUGAGAAAGCCUCCUGCUUUUCAUACAUCAGUAAGCUCUGCUGGUCUAAGGAGUAGACAAGAACAAUAUACAAGCUAGAUUAUUAACAACAGUUAGAUUGUCACUGAUAUGCUGAUAGAAUUUUAAAGUUAUUACAAGCUUCUGAGGUGCACUAAGGAGUACUGAAGGACAGGACUAGAAUCAGUUAAAAAUAUCUGAUGGAAUUCUCUUCUGAGGGAAAUACUUGUAUACUUGUUCAUAAAUAACAAAUAAAAACAAAAAGUAAGUAAGGAAGAAAGAAACAAAUAAUUCCAGGACUCAAUCUAUUUUCAUUAUCUGUAUUUCCAGAUAAAGCUUUUUUGCAUUAGUGAAACAGAAAUGCUUGUUUCAAACUUUUCUUUCAAAAAUGUAUUCUAUGUUCUAAUAUGAAAUUUAAAUCAAAACUGAAAGCAACAAUCAAAACAAAAUUAUUUUGUCAAAACAAAACAUUCAAUUGAUUGAAAUGAUUUUUUUUAUUAUUUUUGUUUCAUGGGCAACUUUACAAUACACGGUUUAAUUCAACUGUGAAACAAAAGCAAAUUUCAAAGACUGUAGCUAUCCUGUAAAGCAGAAAUGUUGGAUUGUGCUUAGAGGAGUAAUUCACCAGAAUUCUGUUAAACCUGUUUUAAAAACAUCUACAAAAUCUCCCAUUCUAUUAAGACAGCAAAGAUUUUUAAAUGCAUGAGGACCCUUAGACAUCGCAGAGGUCAUGCAUUGAUGUCAUUCAGAGCAAUGAAGUUCAGGUACACCCCAUAUUCUUGAGAUGUUUUUAUUGUUGAUUUGACUUUCUAUGGAUAUUCAUAAAAUUAUGAAAACAGUCCCGUGGAUUAUGCAAGAUUCUGUUAUGUGUCUUGUUCUCUCUGCAGCAGUUGAUCAGAAUACGUGUCUUUCAUUAUACGUAGGUUCCCCUUGGAAAUAUACAGUCUUUUGGUCUGUAAACCGGGAAGCUUUUAUUACCUUUUUAGCACUACUGGCUUCCUUCUCUCUUGAGUGGUUGUGGACCAUAUUUUUCAAAUUCUGGGUGUCUGACUUGGUAAAAUGGCUUCCAAAAUCCAUGUGUUUUCCUCUGCAUUCCACUUUCUCAUGUCAGAUCAAUAUACUUAAACGCUACAGUUCUUGACCAGUGCCACAAUGUAUGAUGUGCCUCGGAAGUGUAUUCUGUUAGGUUAUGGUUGUGACUAAUCUGAAAUUCUUCGGAACUGGCUCAGUUCCGAAUCCAGCUCAGUGGGAGCACUCUACAAAAGAACAACAUGAGUUUAAAGGGGAUAUUUUUGACUGAGCUUAGGGCUGAGGGUAGCGAUUAAAAGCGAAGGACAUAGUUAAGGACUGCUCUGUUGCUGGAAAGACUAUUGCACAUGGAAUGUGAAGCACCUGACCUUGUCACAACAUUGUGAGGACUACUGCUGUUUUUUUAACAAGGACAGGCAUACUAGCCCACUCACACAAUACCCUGGUUGUUCUGUUGUGAUUUCUUUAAAUUUGACUAGAUACAAUGUCCUAUUCUUAAAUUUUUGUUUCUGUUUUUUUGGACCUGUUAAGGGAUAUUUUGUCAUACAGAACUGUGGGAAUACAAGAAAGACUAUUCAGAGCAGAAGCUGUGGAGCAAGAUAAACAGCACAGAACACCUGCUUUUAAAUAAAUACGUAUUCUAAGGACAGCAGUGCGGUUCAUUCAGUAUUUCUCAGGCACUGACCAGUGACAAGAUAGGAAUAUGUGCUUUGUCUAACGGCUAUCUCCUGUAAUCAUUGGCUAUUUUUUAAUGCAACAAAGCAUGUAACAUGCUGUAUCAGUAAGCACUGAAUUUAGUGUUAAGAAAGCUGAUUUAGCCUGUAGAAUAUGUUUUGCACUGGUCUUGGACACAAAGAGCUGGAAUAUUGAGCAUAAAGCCUUUUAAAAGUAUAAAAACAAAAGCUCCACCACUCCUGAGAUCUAUAGUUUUUUGUUGUUGUUGUUGUUGUUGUUUUUUUAAGUUUAUGUUGCAGACAUGCUCACAAUAUUUCCUGCAUGCUGGUAGAGCGCUGCACAUCAAAAAGAUAAUAAUGCAAGCAGUAAAAUAUCCCAAGCAAACAGAAUGCAUCUGUAGGUCUUGCUUAGCUGAAAAAUGUUACUCGGAUGGUUCUUUUUAGCUUAACUACCAUUAAUGCUUUGCAAACUUUAAUAUACGUGCUGAGGGUUGGCCAGGAGUUCCCUUAUAAUGGUUAUGUUCACCUUCCGCACAGCGCCUGGGUUCUUACAGACAUGCAAGAAGACAGGAAAGGUACACAAGAAACUGUUAGACCGUGCAGGAUCUGGUCUACCAGCUUUAGUCACAGGAUAACAUAGUGUGCUAUAAACAGGAUGUAAAGAAAUAUUUAUAAAGGUACUUGGUGAAAUCCUGGGAUGCAACUGAAGUGUUUGUUAGCUGUUGUCCUAGGAUUUAUAUGUCCCUUUGUUGUACUGCUCUCUUUAAUAAAUAACACACCAGAUUCAGAGGUAUGAUUUAACUGGAAAGAUUUGUAUCAUUAAAAACUUGUAACAGAUGUGGAGAGAAAGCUAUUCUGCUCCCCCCCCCCUCCUUUUGCAGCGCCUUUUCUUUUCCCCACUGUGAUAGCUGAAUGCUGGCACAUCUCUCUAAGCCUUCUCUUCUAGCCUGCUAUUUACUUUCCAGUCUGUCUUCAGAAAGUCAGUCAUUUCUGUGGUGUACAGGACAGAAUACUCGGGGGUAUGGACAAGGAGGUGUAGUCACUUGAAUAAAUCCUCUCUUGCAGUGUGAGUUUGGAGAUUUCCUGAUGUGCUCACAUAUUCUUUCGAAAACAUCCUGUCUUGAGGUAUGCUUUUUCUGGGCAAUUGAGAUUGUAUGCAUUAAUCUGAAAGAGUUCCCAACUGCCGGAUGUUGCUAACACUGUUACCAGAGCCUUGCUAAGAAGACAGGCUUCCUUUCAGAAUCAAAUCUUUAGGUUUGUACUUUCUUUUAGAAGUCUUGACAGUCUGAUGUGACUAGAGAUUCUAUUUCACAGGGCAUUGCUUCCAGUGGUAGUUCCUAGGCAAGAGGGAUAAGUUCUUCCAAGUAUGGCUCCCACAAAGCAAUUGGUAGUAUAGUAAACAUGGAAUUGAUCUAACCUGUCUCUGCUGUGUAAUUCAAGUUCAUUUUGGAUUCCCUUUCCAGAUCCAACGGUUUUGUAGUACUGUAGAAUGAAAAAUGGCUGGUUUCUGUGUCGCAGACAACAAAUUGUACAGUAUGUUCUUAAAUUCUUUCUUCUUUAGCAGUUCAUAAAGCAUCUUCAUUUCCAUAGCCUUCUACUAUUCAGCGUGAAAUCAAUUUAGGAUUACAGUCCUUCAGUAAGGAGAAGUCCUUCAGUCAUUGUUUUGUAUGAGAACUUAGGAUUCUUAUGCUUUAACUUUCUCAUAUAUAUGUGAGACUACCAUAUUUAUGGAGAAAUCUUGAUUCAGAUUUGCUAUUAUGUGGGGCACAUAAGAGAUCGUGAAAUAUCUUUGAAGCUGAAACAAUGGGAAGCUGCUUACCUCAUGAUAUAAUAAGAUAAAAUAAGGUCAUGAAAAAAGUCAUGUUUGCAAAUUCAGCAACAGAGCUGAAUGAAUUAUUAUCAAAAAGUAAUUUGGUUGCCAAAUAUAGCUUUAUUGUCCAAUCAAAUAUCCACAGGUUGAUCAGUCUGUUUGAUUCAGGAAUCACUGGAAUUUAUUUGAUGACUACCUUUAACACUUAUAUUCUAUGGACUCUCUGUCAGUGGAGGUGGAACAGAGGUGGCUGUGGUUUUAAUGCUAUUUUGGAAAAGCCUAUUCUGCAAUUUUCCCCUCUGGCAUCUAUCUUGUUAAUUUAGGAGUCUAUAGUUUUGAUGAAAGAGGCUAACAAGUUUAGAAUUCAUACAACAAAAGUCAACAUUUAGCAUACAGGAGAUUUCUUACAGGUGGGAAGGGGUUGGAACUUGAUGAUCCUUGAGGUCCCUUCCAACCUAAGCCAUUCUAUGAUUCUGUGAUUCACAAAUUCUCAUGCAUCCUUCACAUUACAUUUGGAUUAUUAACCCUAUGAUUGAAAUGGUGGAAAAAAACAAACAAACAAAAAGGUUAUGGCAGGCUUAGUGCUGCAUGUGUGAGGUGGGGAACAGGGUGUUCCAUGUGUGCGUUGGCUUAGAAGACCAGAGAGAAGCUCAGUGUGCAUGUAAGGAGAAACAUGUCAGAAGCUGCUGCAAGUGGUGCUGUACUUGAAAAGGCAGUGUGGCACCUGUUCGCUUUCCAGCCAUCAUGUAGUAGACGAAAGGUGCCACAUUGCAGACCUCUGUUACUGUGUUUGCUUCCCUACCUCUGUUCCCAAGAGGUUUGGAAUAGGUACUGACAAGUGCGUAUGGCAGUCAUUGUUUUUGACUAUACUUCAGCAUGUCCUACUGACUUUAAAGAGCCAAAAUUUGGCCCUCUGUAAGUCAACCAACAUACACAAAGAACUCUCAGUUAAAGGGCUGGGAACAAAACUUAGUUCCUACUUUCCUGCCUAUUAAUUCAGUACAUAUCUAAUUUGAAAUCUGUUUACUACAUACGCUUGCGUGCAUAUUCCUUGGCACAAGUGCUUCUUGCCAUUAUGGGGCAGAUCCCAUAGAUUUUCUGCGUCAUUAGUAGAGAGAGCCAGUCAUUAAAAAAAAAAAAAAAGCUUAUUUGCCUGAGCCGUUCAGACUUUUUCUCACAGUUCUGCCUGUGGCGCCUGUCACUAGCAGUCAAAUAAGGACAAUUUUACCAUUCUCUCCUGCUGCUCUAAUUUUUUUUUCAGUGCCAGUACAUGUAUUUGUUAUUCUUUAUAACUCCCUUUGAAGUUGGGAAUCCAAGGGGAAUCUAAAACCGACCAGAUGUUUCUUCUGCUGGAGACACAGAAAGACAGCAAGGAUUAACUUUAACUGAAACUUAGUACUCUACAAAGCCCAUUACAGCUAGAAUAUUCUUCUUCGGGUAGAUUUAUUUAUUAUUUAUAUUUGCACUUGCCAUCCUGGGUAGGUGAUACCUCAAGUCAUCUUGCCCGGGAGGAAAAUGGAUGAUUUAUCCAAGUAAACAUUGUAUCAGCAGCUGCCUGCGUUGAUUUCCCUUAUGGGGUUUCAGUUCCAUUACACUGCAUAUUUCCCACCCACACUCUUCAUCCAGCAUUUCAUGUUGAGGAAAAUCAUUCCCAUCUCUUUAACUCCAGAGGACAGACAUGUGGAAGCAUCCAGUGGGAGGGCCGUGUCACUCGUGUGUGGGAACAGGUGGCACACAUGGGAAGGUACCGGCUGGAAAGCAGCAUUAUGUUUUAGCUCCUUCUCACAGUUGGAAGGUGGAAGAAGGGAAUGGAAGCAGGCACAGAAGAGUGGCUGUGGGAAGAAUGGAAUAUGUUAACUUCUUAGAUGUGUGGCAGAAAGCAUGGGUGAGGAGGCAUGGGAAGAAAUGCUUUUAUUGGCAUCUGAAUGCCAAUUGGAUGCUUUUGAAGGUGCAAGACGAGAGGAAAAAUAAUCUUUUAAACAGUCUGUGAUAUUAAGUACGUUAUGAAUUCUUACAAGGUGUCUGUGUCCAAGUUCUGCCACUGGCAGAUUCUACUGAUCUGUGCCUGCAGUUAUGGAAAUAGCAUGGUCAGACUUUGUGGAGGUCAGGAUGGGUAGCAGCAAACAGAGCACAGCUUUGGUCUCUCUGCUAGGCAUACACUUACACUACAGUUCAGAUCCAUCUCCAGAUUUCCAAAACACCCCAGAUUUCUGGAGAACUUUGUUGCCAAGUUAUCUCAUCUGAGUUUAUGGGACUGGCCAUCCCUCUGCCUCUCUGUCCCACCCGUAUGUAACUUUGGAGCAGUGACCGUUUUCAGCCAAGUAUGAAAGAACUUGAAAGAUAAUUCAUUUUCUACAAAAUGGGUAUCUAAAGAGAGGAGGAAAAACUCAAGCUAGUGCCCCUGCUGAGGGAAAGAAUAGCAGAACUUAUCAGUGGAGCAGGCUUAGGAGGAACAGCUGGCUGGCCAGCACAUGCCUUGCUCCCGAGCAGUCACAGCACGUUGUCUUUCGCUCACUGAGAGCUUUAUCUUUCUUGUGGGAGAGGAGAGCUGCAAUAAUUGUUCUCAUGUUGUAUAGAGCUUGCAAGCUCCAAUCAGGAAUCUGUAGGAAGAGAGGCUUUGUUAGUAUUUCUUUCAUGUCUCAGCUGUUUUGUUUUCGUCACAGUCCAGCUCUCCUUUUUGCUGGUAAGUCAAGGCACAUCUUGGACAUUUUCACAUUCCUCUCUUCUGUGGGGUUACAUCUUUUGCAUGCUUUUCUCUGUGUAGAUUGACUAUGCCGUUUCACACUAACUCUCAAGCCUCAAUGUCGCAGCCACCAUAAUUGAGCAAUAGUGUUGGGCUCUGCCUAAGUUACUCUUUAAUUGGCCAGAUGGAUUGCUAAUGCCUUCACCGAGGCACUGCCCUCCAUCAUUAGCUGUUGGAUUUUCUUCCUAAUAUUCCAAGGCCCUGUACAACACCCUAAUUUGUUUUUAAACAGGGAAAUCAGAACCUUGGUAAUUAUAUAGAACCUCUUAAUAAACAUCAGGUGAAAACAAAUGUACGAUAACAAGCACUUUUCAGAACAGCACAAAGAUGUGGAGUUCAAAUUUGGCAGUGCCUCCGCGUAUUUAAAGCUACUUUUUCUGAUUUUAAAAUAUAAAAAGAAAUCAACCUCAAGAAACACUGACUGAUUUGGGGUGUUCUGUUUGUUUCUGAGGAAAGAUAAAAAGAAAAUAAGCACAAUUUCAUUCUGUAUUCUUAGAAUCUGAGUUCCCAGCUUUAUAUUAAAGGAAAGUAAGUUAAAAAUCAUGGAAUUUGGGUUCUACAUAUUUUCUUUUCUGUAUUUUUUUGUUAAGGCAUCGAGGUAGAUGGUAUGAAAGGCAUUUAUAUUGGUCUCUCUGCUGACAGAGCUUAACCUAAUAAUCCAGGACUUGGAUCUGGCUGCUUCGAUAAAAACACUUUCUGAGAGAUUUUUCCAUUCAACAAACAAGGAGAAGUUGUUUAAUUGACGACAUCAGAAAUUAGUAUCCUGCCAGGACUACAUUUCUUUGCAUUCUUAUUACUUAGAACAACAACAACAACAAAAAAAUAAUAUAUCCUCAUUCUGAGUUUUCAAUAUUUUUUUCCUAAAUUUACCCAAAGACAAAGUAGAAAGGUCUACCACAGGACUGUGAGAGUGAAAAUGGGGAAAGUCCCAGUUCCUUGCCAGUUAUUACUUUGUCCUAGUUUAAGCACUUGACUCGCUUUUGGUGAUUGCUCCAUUUUCUUGUUUUUUUAUAGCAUGCCUGAUUCUUUGAAAUCUGCAGACACAGCUCAGUCUUUGAAAGGAAGAAAUCCUCGCUCUGAAAAUGCCAAAUUAAGCUGUGAUUCAGAAUUCCCCUUAAUUGUUAGCAACUUCAUGUACAGAAAAAGCCACCACUCUUCUGGGGCUUUCCUCCAUUCAGCUUUAGUCUAAACAGCUUCUAUCCUCUUCCCACUUUAUGAGGCAAACUGAAUGAACAAAGCCAACAUAAAAGAAAAUAACAUGGUUCACAUCUUAAAUUUGGAGUUCAGGUCUUUAUGGACUCCUCCCCUCAUUCUGAGAUUUCCAUAUAUAUGUAUGAGUGUGUAAGACAUUGCAUUUAAAAUAUAUACAGGAAACUAAGCCUAAGAAGCAUAUACCUUGUAAACAUAUAUGUAUAUUUUGAUGGAAUGACAAGGAAGGCAAAGGUGUGGAUUUUUAAAAUGUUUUUAUGCUUUCAUAAUACAUGCAUGGUCCAUUUGAGACUGUUCUCAUUAAACAAAGGUAUUCAGAUACGGCAUAGAAGUUAGCAAAUAAUUAAACAGGUCCUACUGAAUUGUGUUGUUAACACUCCAAAGCAGCCCAUCCAAGUAGUCCCACAGGCAUCUUGCUUACUUGGGCCAGUUUGUGUUUUUUUUUCCAGCUGCUAUACAGUGGCUUAAAAGUUGCUUCUUGUAUCCUUUACAAUGGUACUCUUCCAUAUAGUAGCACUGAAAGGAAGAGUACACAGUGGAAAGGAUUUACUGUGGAAGUGGCAGGUCCAAGGGUAUGGCUUAUCUAUAGUCUGUGGCAUAUUGUCUUAUAAAGUCAAACAGGAAUCCCUCUUCAUCUCUUGCAGUUGGGUAUUAGAGUGUAGACAAUGAGUCCAAACCAACCAGCAGCCAGAGGGCAGAUUGCACAUCUCACUGUGAAAGUCACCAUUAGGCCAAGAGCUCAGUCAUGCCAAUUGGAAAAGCAUCUAGUUUCUCAGAGGUAGGGCUGGACUUAUUUUCUGCCCAGAAUGCUCAUUCAGAGAGAGAGGAUUAGAUAGCCCAUAAUAUUGCUGCAGAUACUCUCAAACACCAAGCAAUUACUAGUGCUUCCUGCUGUACUCACUGUCUGAAGGUGCCAAGUGUGUGGAUGAGGUGGGAUCAUGGACACAGCCUCAGUCUCCCCAGACCAGCUGAAUUAUCCCAGCAAAGUAGUCUGCACCUCAUUGGAGCAUGUUCUUCACUGAUUCAUACAGUUUUGUGUUCUGAUGGUCACGGAAUCACAGGAAUUAUGCCUCCUGUGAUCUCUUUCUCAAACAAUGCUCCUCCUUCCCUCGUGAUUUAACAGCUGUCUUGCAGCUGCAGUUCUUAGAUCUACCGUUCUUAGAUGUGCAGUUUGCCCCAUGGCCUCUUUCAUCCUCCUUUCUCAGGGCCCUGGUCAGACUCCUACUAGCUGUUGCUUUGUAUCUGCCCUCCGACUGCUGGUGCUGAUGUUCUGACAGCCUACCCAAAUCCUUCUUUGCUCAGAGGAAAUAAUAACUCUCAUUCAGUUGCUUUCUUAGCAUUUAUUGUGACAUCCAAAGACAAAUGCAAACUCAUCUCUAGAAUCAUUAUUCUCUUUGAAGAACAACGGAUUGUCAGGGGAGGCAUUUUUUUUGUGUGGAUUCACUUAGAAGUUCUGUCCCCCAGUGUGGUUCUCCAGCUGCCCCUGUCAUAUCCUCAGUUGUUGUUUAUCCAACUUUUAAUAAUUUCCUUUUCAUGCUAGAAAGGCCCACAUAAUUUUCUCUGUGUGUGCAUGUAUUUGUAUUUACUUCAUGUUUCUUUAUAUCCUUAAAUUCAUAACAUCUAAAAUAUAUAGAAAAAAAAACAUCUAUUGCACAAGAUAAAUGUAUUACGUAUGCAUACAUUUUACAUUCAUAUAUAAUUUCAUAAAAUGCAUAUGGAUUUUGCGUGCUUACAUUUUAAGUGCACUAUUGCAGUCUUUCAGGUAUCUUAAUCACCUCACAUCACAACAAAUUCCUGGAAGAAACAUACUGAUACAUGGACAGCUACACUGUGCCCUAUUUCUAUGCAGAAAUGAUUUGAGAGAAUACUUCUUUGUACUACUGAAAGAAAUGAAGACUGGAUAUUGAUUCUCUUACUCAAAAGAGAGAAUAUCACUUAGUAAAUUAGCAGCAGCAUUACUUGCUAUAUCCGGGCGUCAGCAAUUUAUGAAGGUAUGUUUUCAGGAUCGCCAAAGGUACCUUGAGGUACCUGUAUAAUGCUGGAGCAGCCUUGAUCAAUGGAUUCUUAUUUUGACUAAUCCCCAUUUCCAGUAAAGAUGGGAGUUCAGGCCUGGAUUGGAACCAGCACAAGGUGGCCUGAAAAUCCCUAGCUUAAUUUGUUCUAUUAACAUAAGCUUUCACCCAGAAGUGUUAAGAUGAGAUCAGCACAAGGCUUGCCAUUACAGAAGCGUGCACAAGUACGAGGGUGGAAAAUUGCUCAGAGAAAUUGUCAUUCAAGAUCUCUGGGUAAGGUAGGAAUAUUGUUUAUUUUCCUCUGAAUAACAAUAGCACCUUUACUUGUAGCAAAAGAAAUGGGAAGAAGUAGCAGAGAGACCAUCCUUCCAGUCUUAACUUUUGGUUUGACUGUCUCCAGUGAAGUUAAUGUUUAAGUGUUGGCUAGCAUUGUCAAAAAAAAAAAAAAAAGAAAAAAAAAAGUGAUGAUUUGAAAAUAAAAAGAUACAACAUUACUGUCAUAAUGGGGGUACUGUUGUGAUGGUAGGGGUGGAGGAAUAGGGGAACAAAUCAAGACGGAAUAUCAGAAAUUCAGAAAUGCAGCCCUUGCCCCACAGGAGUGAGUAGGAUUUUACUGGGAAUUUUUUUUUUAGUUCAGUGUCCCUAAAAAAAAACCCUGCAGCCUGCAUUUGAGAGGAAACUUGGACAGUUAAAUUUCUAGGUGCUAUCCUGAAGCACAGAAGCCCUGGGCUCUUUCCCUUGCUUUGCCACAGCUCUCCAGAGGCCCCCAAGGAAGCCAUGUGGGCAUCACAGCUCUUUCUGCUUCCUGGGGAGACUGGGGUAGAGGUGCUGGAAGUCAAGCAAAGCCCUGACACUGGGGUGACAGAGGCCUUCCAAGAACUUGAUAGGGAAACCAAGGCUUGAUCUGAUGAAUGGGAUUCAUUUAACUGAAGGUAGAAAGCAUGGAUCUGUGCUGGAAAAUGAUUCCUUGUACAGAUCUGUUGUGAGCGUGCCACAUACAUGCAUGCCUGCAAGCUGCUCACAGCUUUUCUUUCUGUGUCUCUUUUAAGAUGUACACAAUGAAAGUGCAGCGUAGUGCUGGUUUUCUGUCCUGUGUUAAAACAAGAGUAAAUCUACCUACUGUAUUUAUAAAAUGAGGGUUUUACAGGCAUGAAGGACAUCCAUCCUGUGUUACAUAAACGUAGGUUAGUUUGGUUCCUUGUUCCUCCUUUUCCCAUGUUUAUGUUGUGCAAAGAAGUUAUUAAAGCAGGUAAGAGUUAUGGAGAUUUAUCUAUAAUCUUCACAGGACUUUAAAACCUUUUUUCACAUCACAACUUAUUUAACUACCACUUUAAAGACAAAGAGGAGCUCUGUGGCUGGGAGGUGAGGAAUACAAAAGUUGUAGUUGCCUUCCUGUGAGAGGAAUAUGAUAAUAUUCCCUGACAGAGAAACUAUAAGGAACAAUUAUCCCAAGCUGUGUCUUUCAGACAAUGCUGUCAGAUUUUCCACUUCCGUGAGCACAGCUGGGCAUUUGGUGCCAGGAUGAGAAAUUCCACAGCGGCUGGAAGCUGAGCACCCUGGGUGCAGGGCUGCCCUUCAGCACUGGAUUUGGGAGCAGGGACUAGAGCGAGGAAGAGGAUGACUUUCUCAAGCUUUGAGAUUAGAAAGAAAAUCUGGUUUGGUAGUUUGAGGAAGGAGUCUUCCAAAGGUCCCCUUCCCAGACUGCUGCUUCUCAAAGAGUUUUAUGUUGGGAUUCAGACUCUUAGCAUACCUGCACUGCCUUUACAAAACACGUGCCACCUACAUUCAACUACAUGUUUGGUUUUGGGCAAACUU
ensembl:lncRNA